UUUUUUUUCCUUUUCUUUUUCUUUCCAUAUUUGAUUGGGCCAUUUGGAUUCUGGAGAAGACAACUACUAGCUGUAAGCCGUUUUUUCACACUCUGAGGGAGUACUUCAUAUUUCUCCAGUUUAAUGGCAAGGGAGAAUCCGCCGACAAUAUGCUGUUAUGCACCAUAUACAUAUCUAAUGAACAAAACCAAAUAUUGGAAUGACGAUGCCAAGAGGAUCACAACAUAUGCUGCUGCUAUAUCAAAAAACUGAAACUGGCAAAUUCACUGUGACACUUUCAGACUCUGGGUGCAGAUCGGAGCCAAAAAAUGACUUAUGGGUGAUUAUAAGCAUGUAUUCAGACAUGUGAAACCAAGUUCUCACAUCCGAUUGGUUGAAACGUUCCACGGUAAAGUUCCGUUUCGGUUCCACAAUAUCAGCAAACAGGAGGCAGAUUCUCAUCAAUAUUGGCACAACAAAGACAGAAAUUUCAGAAUAGUAGAAAAAAAAAUGCAUUAACAGAUAACAGACACAGAAAUGCAGGCCUGGGACUCCUGCGUGAAUGUGUAUCAGCAAGGUAGAAAAUCAAGUUCAGUAGAAUGGCAGCAACCUAAAGAUAGUAGGUUAGGCUUUCGAAGCAAUACAUGGUUGCAAGGGGUUCCCCCAGAAAUGCAACCAAACAACCCUGCUAGAAUCUGAUGAACUAUCCUGUUACACACCAUGCAUAUACCACUUAUGUUACUCAGGAAAUUCAAUAUUUGAAUAACCAUGCCGGGAACAAACAUAUAUCUUCUGGUCCUAUCAAAGAAGUGAAACUGGCAAAUUUAAUGCUACAAUAUGGCACAGAAUUUCAGACUCAGGUGCACGGACGAUCACAGAUUUCUGGGUGGUUGCAAGAAUGUAUAGAUCAGCAUAGCAAACCAAGUUCUCACAUCAGUAUGAUGGAAAUAUAAGGAUUGGUAAACUCUACUUCAGCUUAAUAUCAUCAAAACAGCAGAUUGAUGAGAUCGGCAAGCCAGCAAUUCCAGUACAGGUGGACUACUAAGAUGAGAUGAGAACAAAAUUCACUGCAAAAACAGAUAACAGAUACUGCAAUACAUGGCUGAUUGUCCAAAUUUAAAGGGAAAUCUCUCUAAUUACCAUAGCAUUUCGGUUGAAUGGCAGUAACCUAAAGAUAGUACAUCAGGCCUACCUACCAAACCAUAGACGGUUGCAAGGGGUACAAAGCAAAUAAAACAGGUAGUUCAAGCUCCCACAUAACUGCAACCAAAUAACAUGACAAGCCAAUGUAAACUACUAUCUCUACCUAUUGUGCCUCCUCUGCAUCUUUUUUCUUCUUUUUCUUCUCCUUUUUCUUCUCACUCUUCUCAACCUCCACACUCUCUGGAGCGACAUCUUCACCACCUUCCUUGCUCUUCUUCUUCUUCUUUUUCUUCUCGCUGCCGCCCUUCUCCUCAUCAGACAGACUGCUCUUCUCUUCCUUCACUGCCUCUGAAACAGCUGAUCCUGGUUCUCCCUUAUCUUUCUUUUUCUUCUUCUUCUUCUCACUCUUCUCCCCUUCCACUGCCUCAGUGACCUCCUCAACCUUCAUCUUCUUUGCAGGUGUGGAAGCAGUUACAUCAUCCUCAUCAGUCUUCCUCUUUUUCUUCUCCUUGACCUCCUGACUUGGCACCACAUCCUGUUGUUCGACCUUUACCUUCUCAGGCUCAGGAGCAGCUGCAAUGCUAGCAAUCAUUGCAUCGCCACCAGUAGGAAGCACCACAUUUCGAAGCCACUCAGCCGGGGUCUUGUCAGUUGGCUUCCCAUGCUUAUCAAGGAGGCCAUCGGCUAUCAUCUUCUUCUUCUUAAGUGCCACCGGACCAAGUCCCCACUUCCUUGGGUAUGUGUCCCUGUCCAUCACCACCCUCUUGAUCUUCGCUACAGCACCAUGGUCGCAAGUUGCCAUAACAGCAGUAGGCAUCUCAGCGAUACCAAUGGCAAUCGCCUCCCCCUUGGUAGUCAUGAGAACAACCUCUUCCCCAACAUCAAUGUCAUUCUCAAACCGGAGCAACCCAGGAAUCAUAAGCUUGGCACCAUAGCAGAUAGCAUUAACAGCAGAGUCCUUCACAACAAGCCUCUUGUAGCUAGUAAGAAUUACCUCAAGCGGCAUAACCACACGCCUUAUGUAAGACUCAUCCUUGUGGUUGUCAAGCGCCCACAUGGCAUCCAUCACAUCGUGCAUGGUGACCAUGUUGUCCUGCUCUCCCAGAAUACCUGACCGCACACGGCGAAGCUCCUGCAUAUGCGCACCAACACCCAGGAGCAGCCCAAGGUGCACACAGAGCGUCCGGACAUAGGUUCCGGCCUCGCAGGAGAUCCAGAACACGGCAAGGUGGCGCUCGGCGUCAUGCUCCAGCAGCUUGCUCUCAUAAAUGGUCCGCACCCUGAGCUGGCGCUUGACCGCCGAGAUGAGCGGAGGCCGCUGGAACACAGCCCCGGUAAGGGACUCCAGCGCGCGGGCCACGCGGGCCGUGUCUGGAACGGCGGCGUGGAAGCGGGCGAUGCACACAUACUCCUUACCUGCGCCCUGCUGCGACUUGACGAGGCGUGUGGCGCGGUCGACGCAGACGAUGAGGUUGCCGGUGACCUUGGGAUCGAGCGUGCCGCUGUGGCCGGUCUUCUCGACGCGGAGGAGGCGCUUGAUCCACGCCACCACCUCGUGGGAGGAGGGGUUGGACGGCUUGUCGAGGUUGAUGACGCCGUAGCGGAGGUACUCGGCGAGGGGGCGCUUGAGGGGCGAGUGGCCGGAGGGGAGCGGGGUGUAGUGGCCGGUGCGGACGUUGAGGCGGUCGUAGUUCUUGAGGAGGAGCGGCCAGGUGGAGGUGUCGAGGGACGGAACCAGGGCCUGGGGCUUGAUCAUAUAGCCAUCAGUCUUCGCCUCGGCGUCCGCCAGCGACGUGGUAUCGGCGGCGGCGGCGGCGGGGUCGGUGGAGGCGUCCUUGGAUUUGCUCUUCUUUUUCUUGGAUUUNNNNNNNNNNNNNNNNNNNNNNNNNNNNNNNNNNNNNNNNNNNNNNNNNNNNNNNNNNNNNNNNNNNNNNNNNNNNNNNNNNNNNNNNNNNNNNNNNNNNNNNNNNNNNNNNNNNNNNNNNNNNNNNNNNNNNNNNNNNNNNNNNNNNNNNNNNNNNNNNNNNNNNNNNNNNNNNNNNNNNNNNNNNNNNNNNNNNNNNNNNNNNNNNNNNNNNNNNNNNNNNNNNNNNNNNNNNNNNNNNNNNNNNNNNNNNNNNNNNNNNNNNNNNNNNNNNNNNNNNNNNNNNNNNNNNNNNNNNNNNNNNNNNNNNNNNNNNNNNNNNNNNNNNNNNNNNNNNNNNNNNNNNNNNNNNNNNNNNNNNNGGGGGGGCGGGUAGGGGGAUUAGGGUUUUUGCGGGGACGGGGAGCGGCGCCGUGGCGGCGAGAGGAAGAAGGGGGUUUUAAGGGUAAGGGUUUAGCGGGGUGCGUGGGCUGGAGCGAUGGGCUUUGCCGUUGGGCCGCCCGGUUAGAAGUCACCAAACAUCUGCUCCCUGAAUGGAACCUCAAAAAACCCUCAAAAAAGAUAUUAGAAGUAUGGAACCUAAAAAAACUAGCCAUCUUUUCUAGAAUCUUAAAAAAAGAUAUAUUUUCUAAAAAAACAGAGAUAUGGAGCCUCAAAAAAUAGAAUUAUGGAAUUCCAUCAAAAGAAAAAUAGAAGCAUGGAAUUGCCUCAUAAAGCAAAAACAGAAGUAUGGCACUCAAUUAAGAAAAGCAUGGAAUGAACGAAAUUUCCCCUAAAAAGGAAAAAAAGGUUAUUGAAUUUGCUCAAAAAAAGUAAGAAACAAAUUUCAGAUGAUCGGUCUUCAAACUACUAUAACGCUUCGUUUGGAUGUCUCCAUUGGGGAGCUUCGUAUUGUAUUGGUCUGAAUUCCAAAUCAGUGAGGAAACAUGAAUGGCAUGAAUACGAAUUCACCUGUUUGGUUGUCUGGUGAAUUGGCCCUUGAAAUGCCUCUGAGAUUUCAAUACCAAAUCAUGUUUGGGUGACAAACUUUGGAAUUGCAUAGCUACAUUACCUUAUCAGAGGGAUUUUCAGGAUAUGGAGGGGUUUGAGAAGAAGAUUUAGGCCAUGGCCAUGGAUCCAUGGUGGAGCAGUGAUGUGGCCGCACAAAAAGAGGAGCAGCUCGUACAUCUGUAAUGGUGGAGUGAUGUACAUAAGGAGCUGCAGCAUGUGGAGCAGGGAGGACUUGAGCCAGGCAACGAUAGGCAAGGACGAGGCCACACGUGGCUAGAAGGGCAAAGCCGAUGGCGGGGCGCGCCGGUCCUGGGCCGCUGUCGACCUCCAUGGCCGGGCGCAGCAUAGGGCGACAGGAGAUAGCGAGGGGGCGACGGGAAAGGGGUGGGGAAGAGGGGAGAGACGGACCUGCACCGCGGCCGCCGCCACGACCUAGGUCGGCGCUCGAGUUCGCCCCUCCCGUUCCCCUUCGCUGCCUUCUGUUUCUGUUUCGUGGGCUGAAGCGGUAUGCUUUGCGGGACAUAUGCGAUUUCGAGCCAAUACGGAGCGCCACCCCUCCGAAACGUGGGAGCGGGAUUUUCACGGGAGCAAAAACGGGCCUGAAUUGCUCGUUCAUUUCCAAUACGAAUUCAGUGUCCAGCCAAACGUCCGUAUUGACCCCUGUUGAUUAUGAAAUCCAUUUCAUGGGCUCCAAUGGAGACAUACAAACAUAGUGCUAUGGAAAUAGUGAAAAAUAUAUGGGACAGAGUGCUGCCACAUUUUUGUUUGGGUCUGUCUAGGGCACAUCUAGAUGUGCCCUAAUUAUUGCACAUUUAAAUGGCUCAAUCAAAUAAGGAAAAGAAAAAUAAAAGGAUAAAAGAAAACACAUGCACGAAUCUGCGGGUAAAAUCAAUGACAUAAGAUUUAAAUGUGAAAUACUUAGGGCACAUCCAGAUGUGUGAUACGUCUCCGUCGUAUCUACUUUUGCUAACACUUUUCCUCUUGUUUUGGACUCUAAUUUGCAUGAUUUGAAUGAAACUAACCCGGACUGACGCUAUUUUCAGCAGAACUACCAUGGUGUUGUUUUUUGCAGAAAUAAAAGUUCUCGGAAUGGAACGAAACUUUGCGAGGAUUUUUUAUACAAUAAAAGAGAAUUUCUGGAGCCAAGAACCACCGGAGGGGGGCACUUGGGUGGGCACAACCCACUAGGGCGCGCCACCCCCUCUAGGCAUGCCCAGGAGGGUUGUCCCCACAUGGUGGCCCCGCAGACCCAGAAACCGACGCAAUAAAAUCAUAUUUUUCCAGAAAAAAGAGGAAGAAAGAAUUAUCACGUUUCACGAGACAGAGCCGCCGCCGUCUCCUGUUCUCCAUCGGGAGGCCAGAUCUGGAGUCUCUUUGGGGCUCCGGAGAGGGGGAUCUUCGAUCUUCGUCAUCACCAACCCUUCUCCAUCGCCAAUUUCAUGAUGCUCCCCACCGGGCGUGAGUAAUUCCUUCGUAGGCUCGCUGUUCGGUGUGGAGUUGGAUGAGAUUCAUCAUGUAAUCGAGUUAGUUUUGUUAGGGCCUGAUUCAUAUUAUCCAUUAUGUUUUGAGAUUGAUGUUGCUAUAACUUUGCCAUGCUCAAUGCUUGUCACUUUGGGCCCGGGCGCCAUGUUUUCAGAUCUGAACCGUUUAUGUUAUCACAGUUACAUCCAUGUUCUAGAUCUGAUCUUGCAAGUUAUAGUCACCUACUACGUGUUAUGAUCCGGCAACCCCGGAGUGACAAUAGUCAGGACCACUCCUGGUGAUGACCGUAGUUUGAGGAGUUCAUGUAUUCACCAUGUGUUAAUGCUUUAUUCCGGUUCUCUAUUAAAAGGAUGUCUUAAUAUCCCUUAGUUUCCAAUAGGACCCCACUGCCAUGGGAGGGUAGGACAAAAUAUGCCAUGCAAGUUCUUUCCAUAAGCACGUAUGACUAUUUACGGAAUACAUGCCUACAUUAUAUUUAUGAACUGGAGCUAGUGUCGUAUCGCCCUAGGUUAUGACUGUCUCAUGAUGAAUAUCAUCCAACGAAUCGUCGAUCCAAUGCCUACGAUUUUCCUACAUACUGUUCUUGCUAAGUUACUACUGCUGCUGUCACUAUUGCACUUGCUACAAAAUCACUGCCAUCACUGUUAUCGUUACUAUUACUGCUACCACUAUUAUCAAAACUAUCAUAUUACUUUGUGAAAGGAUCGAUAUGGUUGACUAGAGGGGGGGUGAAUAGGCAACUAACAAUUUUUAAGCUUUUCUUUAACAAUUUAAACCUUGCAACAAAGUAGGUUGUCUAGAUAUGCAACUAUGUGGACAACCUAUAUGAUGCAAAGACAACUAGCACACAAGCAAGCAAUAGAUACAACACAAGUAAGCUUGCAAAAGUAAAGGCACGAAAUAACCAAGAGUGGAGCCGGUGGAGACAAGGAUGUGUUACCGGAGUUCCUUCCUUUUAAGGGGAAGUACGUCUCCAUUAGAGCGGUGUGGAGGCACAAUGCUCCCCAAGAAGCCACUAGGGCCACCGUAAUCUCCUCACGCCCUCACACAAUGCGAGAUGUCGUGAUUCCACUAUUGGUGCCCUUGAAGGCGGCGACCAAACCUUUACAAACAAGGUUGGGGCAAUCUCCACAACACUUGGAGGCUCCCAACGACACCACGAAGCUUCACCACAAUGGAGUAUGGCUUCGAGGUGACCUCAACCGUCUAGGGUGCUCAAACACCCAAGAGUAACAAGAUCCGCUAGGGAUUAGUGGGGGAAAUCAAAUAUCUCUUGGUUGAAGUGUAGAUUGGGGCCUUGUCACCCAAUCCCGAGCAAAUCAACAAGUUUGAUUGGCUAGGGAGAGAGAUCGGCCAAAAAGGAAGCUUGGAGCAACAAUGGAGUUUAGGGUUGGAAGAGGUGAGUCUUCUUGGAGAAGAAGACCCCCUUUUAUAGUGGGAGGACAAUUCCAACCGUUGCCCACCACUCAGCCCGCAGCCCACGGAACUACUGCUCCACAGGCGCGGUACUACCGCACUGGCUUCCGGUACUACCGCGGUGGACCGCGGUACUACUGUGAGCACGACAGAGACCUGACCAGGCAAAAGGAGCACCGACAGGGCGCGGUAGAUCCGCAGGAGCGGUACUACCGCGGCCCCAUGCGGUACUUCUGCAAGGCAGACACGGGCCAGGCCUGGUAGGCACAGAUGUAAAAAAUUACAUCCGUGACUACCUCCGCUGAGAAAAUGUCGUGCAAAAAUCCGACACGGAACUACCGCAGCCGAGGGUGCGGUACUACCUGUUGGGGAACGUAGCAGAAAUUCAAAAUUUUCCUACGAAUCACCAAGAUCUAUCUAUGGAGAGACUAGCAACGAGAGAGAAGGGAGUGCAUCUACAUACCCUUGUAGAUCGCUAAGCGGAAGCAUUCAAGGGAACGGGGUUGAAGGAGUCAUACUCGUCGUGAUCCAAAUCACCGGAGAUCCUAGUGCCGAACGGACGGCACCUCCGCGUUCAACACACGUGCAGCCCGGUGACGUCUCCCAUGCCUUGAUCCAGCAAGGAGAGAGGGAGAGUGUCGGUUUCAAAACCGGCGGAUCUCGGGUAGGGGGUCCCGAACUGUGUGUCUAGGCGGAUGGUAACAUGAGACAAGGGACACGAUGUUUUACCCAGGUUCGGGCCCUCUUGAUGGAGGUAAAACCCUACGUCCUGCUUGAUUGAUAUUAAUGAUGUGGGUAUUACAAGAGUAGAUCUACCACGAGAUCAAGGAGGCUAAACCCUAGAAGCUAGCCUAUGGUAUGAUUGUUGUUCGUCCUAUGGACUAAAGCCAUCCGAUUUAUAUAGACACCGGAGAGGGCUAGGGUUACACAGAGUCGGUUACAAUGGUAGGAGAUCUACAUAUCCGUAUUGCCAAGCUUGCCUUCCACGCCAAGGAAAGUCCCAUCCGGACACGGGACGAAGUCUUCAAUCUUGUAUCUUCAUAGUCUUGGAGUCCGGCCGAUGAUGAUAGUUCGGCUAUCCGGACACCCCCUAGUCCAGGACUCCCUCAGUAGCCCCUGAACCAGGCUUCAAUGACGACGAGUUCGGUGCGCAUAUUGUCUUCGGCAUUGCAAGGCGGGUUCCUUCUCCGAAUAAUUUAUAGAAGAUUGUGAACACCAGGAUAGUGUCCGGCUCUGCAAAAUAAAUUCCACAUACCACCGUAGAGAGAAUAAUAUUUACACAAGUUUAAUCUACUGACGUAUUUUGUGGCGUGAUGUCACACCACUACCAAGCCUUUACUCGAAUUGUUUUUAUUGUACUACCUCAGCGCGUUUAGCGAAGCGGUUUCCUUGGCACGUCUUGUCAAAGCAGAGAUCGUGUUCCCCUUAUUCCGGGAUUCCCAUCAAUACGGACGUGGGUAACCCAACCGUGCCAUUGAUUGCGGCGCUUGGGAGAUAAGUGAGUUUUAUCAGGCCGGUGGGGACACAUAGUUUCGUCCGCCCAUAUAAGGGGAUAAAGAUCCAACCCUUUUACCUACGCCUUCUUCCUCCUUUGCUUAUCCAUCUCCGCAAACUCGAGCUCCAGCGCCCAAGUCCGCACAUCUCACCUUAACCUUCUCCCACUAUGUCCGGAGCGGGAGGCAAGUGGAUGGCCUCCUCCGUUACGGAGGGGCAUAUCCAGAAGUUGCGCAGUGCCGGAUAUCUGUCCAGCGACAUCGCGCACCAGCUCCCCGAUGAGGGGGAGCUCAUCCCCACCCCCAGGCCCCAUGAGAGGGUAGUAUUUCUUUCCCAUUUCCUCCGUAGACUGGGCUUCCCACUCCAUCCCUUUGUCCGGGGGCUCAUGUUCUACUACGGCCUGGAUUUCCAUGAUCUGGCCCCGAAUUUCAUCCUCAACAUCUCGGCGUUUAUCGUCGUGUGUGAGGCCUUCCUCUGCAUCCAGCCCCACUUUGGCUUGUGGCUCAAGACCUUCGGUGUCAAGCCGAAGGUUGUGAAGGGCAGCCAAGCGGAGUGCGGAGGCGCCAUGGUGGGCAAGAUGCCCAACGUUACUUGGCUCGAGGGCACCUUUGUGGAAACCAUUAAGGGGUGGCAAUCGGGGUGGUUCUACAUCACCGAGCCGCAUGACCCUGAAUGGGCAGCGGCCCCCGAAUUCAAAUCUGGCAUCCCCAUAUGGCUCACCUCCUAGAAAGAGAGUGACCGGACAUGGGGUGAUUCGGAGGAGCUGACCGGACUUGAAGCCUGCAUCCAAAAGCUAGUGAACAAGAAGCUCAAGCUUGUCAACGUAGUCCAGGUCAUGCUCAUCCGCCGGAUUCUCCCGUGCCAACAACGGGACUUCAAUAUGUGGGAGUUCGAUCCGGCGCAGCACCAGACUUUGAGCGGGCUCUUCGACACUACGUACGAAGUGGCCUGGAGGGUGCUGUUUAAGGGCGCCGAGGCUCCCACAUCCGCUACCGAAGAUCGCGGAUUCAGCUCGCAGCGUCCGGCUAGCGAGGUAAGCGAUUUUGCCCUUUACGGGACACUUGUUUUCCAUGCUUUGACUCUAUGCGGGAUCUAAACUCUCCCUCCUUUGACAGGAAUGGCCGAAGAAGGCCGAACAGACUAUCUGUCUGGCCCCAUUGCCAGAAGACCUAGCGGACGCCCGCUUAACGGGGCUGCUGGCUCCGGCACCCCACGUGGUGCCGGAGAAGAAGGCCAAGAAGAAGGCCACGGGCACUUGAAAGAGUUCCCAUUUUCAGGUGUCAUCGUACGAUGACUCCGAGGCAGACUCCUCCCAUGAAGGCGAGGAGGAGAAGAAGGAGGUCUCUCCCCCAGCGGGGGGAGGGAAGAAAAGGAAGGCCUCCCCAACGAGGGAGGCCGAAGGGUCCAAGAAGGGAAGGACUCUUCCCCCGGACUGCUCUGCCAACACCGGCGAUGACGACAAGGAUUGGCCUCCAAGGGCCAAGCCCCUGGCGAGAUCGUAAGUAUCCGGACUCCCGAAUAACUUCAUGGUUUUUCUUUUCGCCACAUGGUGUCUUUCUAAUGCCGCAUACAACCCUACAGUCCGCCCAAGGAUGAUCUUCCCACUUCGUCGAGCGGGUCCUUGGGUGCGUCGGAUAUGGAUUCUCUUCCGACCGCCUCCACCCCCCGUGAUGCGGACGAUGCCGAGGUAGGAUCCCGGGAAGGGACCCGCCAGGAGGAGGAGGCCCCGGAGGUGCCGCAGGGCAACCUCCCGGACUUUGCACCGGACUCCGCCCCGGAACCUGUAGUGGCUCCGGAGUCCGGCGGGCGGCCCCUUCGUAAGAAGGGCAAGACCGUGAUGCUGGCGGCCUCCGUCCAACCGGAGGCACCAGAUAGCUUGCUGGAGGCGCUCAAUGGCGCCUCCAUCAAAGAGGAACACCGCACUGUCAUGAGUGCGGUGAUUCAGAAGGUUCAGCUUGCCAAGAGCGGGCUGACCGAAGCCUGCGGCAGCCUUCUAACAGGCUUUGAGGUAAGAAUUUUGAUAUAUGUAAAAUAGUACCGCAUAGACAGUAGCCCCUGAUGCUCGGCUUGGUAUUCGAAAAGAAAAGCCAGACCGAGGAUCUAAAAAGAUAUACGCAGGAGUCAUAUAAAAAAAUAUGUCAAUAUGGGAUUGCAGGCUGUGCUGCUGACCUCUGCCGCCCUGACUGCGGAGGUCAAUACUUUGAAGCAAAGCCUCGAGCGGUCCGAGAACAAGCUCGGCCAUGCCAAGAAGCAGCUCGAGGAUAAGGAAGGUGAGUAACACCUUAUUAAAAUUGUACCUUACAGAAAAGGAUUUGGUUGCAAGAAGGAUGACAAGAAUAACAUGGGUAUUGCAGAGGCCACGAACGAGGUGGCGACCCUGAAGGAGGCGGUGUCCGCGGCCGAACGUAAUGCGGCCGUGGAGCGCACCGAGCGAGAGAAGCAGGAGGCGCGGGUGGCGGAGGUAAAGCAAGAGCUCUAGGCUCUCGUGGAAAAACAUGAGAGUUUGGAGCGUGACUCGAAGACUCGAGAGUCCGAGCUUGCAUCGGCUCUUGAGAGUGCCAAAGCCGCUAAGGCCGAAGCCUACAAGGCCCUCCAGGAAAUCGAGGCGUUGAAGAAAAUAGCAGCGGGUAAGGCAUUUUUCAUGCAAAGUAAGCAUGUGGGUGUGAAUUACCUAUCACUUACCCGAAUUCGGAGCUCUCCAGGAGCGAUCGCAGAUCUGCCCGGCAGCGUGUCCGAUGCUGCCGCUUUCUAUAGGGCCGAGGAGGGGAGCUCGACGGAGAAGGUCUUCUGGUCUCAGUAUGCUGAGGCCGGACAUCCGGUGCCCCUUAGCGACCAGCUGAAGCAGCUGGUCGAGCUCCAGAAGGUGGCCGAACAGGCCAUGAAGGGCCUCAUAGUUCGGCUGUGGCCUAAGGAGGCCAUGCCUGGGAGCUACUUCAGCCUGGUGCGGCGGCCGGUGGAUGCGUGUCCAUGGGUUGAAGUCAUCAAGCACUCCGCCUAUAUUGAAGGUGCCCGUCAGGCCCUUGCCCGCGCAAAGGUGCAAUGGGGCAAGAUGGAUGCUAAGAAGCUUGUGACGGACACGCCACCGCCGGGCAAGGAGUAUCGCACGCCCGAGAUGUAUUAUAAGAGUGUCCUGAAGGGUGCCCGCAUUAUUGCGGGUGAGUGCUCCAAAGAUGUAAUAUUUGAGUAGACUCACAUUUUGUUAUCCUGUGCGCUGAAAACUUUGUUCAUAUGCGCUAAGCAACGCUUGUUAAUUUAAAAUAUUACCUUCUGUGCGGCCGUUUAUCAAAUCUGAGAGAUGGCAAGUCGUCGGCUUCAGCCCCCAUGCCACGAGUGCUGGGGUGUUCAGGAUAAAUUUGAGCACUCUUGUUCCCAUUUUUGGGUCCAUCUAGGGAGGCGCUCAACACAACGAACAAGGCAACCGGACUUAUAAUGCUUGAACACUCUCACUUAGCCAUAGAAUUCUAUAAUUUUAAAUUUCGGCAAAGCCCCUAGUGUUCGGAAGGCCGAAUUUGGGGCGCUAUCCACGCCUGGGCCGGACAAAGCUGGUUCCUCGCUCUGAGCGGCAUAAGUCUUUAGGGACUCGAAAAAACCUCUCGAACUGCGACCGGCUCUCACCUCAUCAUGACAGUCAGUUUUAGCUUUCUCCACUAAGGCGCUCGCCCAGCUCAACUGGGGCGCAAUCGCAGUGGUUCUCCCAGUGCUACCUUAGCCGAUACAACGGAACAUAAGGUACCAAAACAUGGGAGCCGGGCAAACCCAACUAUUGACCCAAGACAUGAUUCGGAGCCGAUGCAUAUAAUGCUAUAAGUUCGGGGUGCCGCACUUGUGAAAGUGUUCGGACUUAUCACACCAUGAAGCGGGAAGCAUAAGCCCCUGGUGUAUUUAGCCGUACCAAAGUGUACGGAUGCAACAUGUCAUAUAUGUAUAAGAAAUAAAUGCAAUUAUAAGCAAAAAGGUGCUGCAUUGUUUAUUCAAGAAAUACUGCUGCGAAUGCAGAACGAUACAAAUGGUGCAAUAAGCAAGGGAUGGGACUAUUAAACAUGUCCCCCUCUAGGGGUAGGCUGCGGAAUGGUGUAUAAAACAGAUUUAAUGCUCGUAAUGAAGACCACCUGGAUAUUCGUCAUAGCCUUUCUCCUUCCCUGGCUGUUGUAUCGUGAGUUCGGCAGGUCUACUGCCGGACAGGGCCUCUGAUGAACGGAGUCCUGUGGGUAAAAAAAAGAAAAAGAGAAAAAAAGAACGACACACUUGAGAGCCCCUGGUAUGGUUAAGCCGCAUUCUGGGCCUAUCGUGGUCGUGCCCCUCCCCCUAUGCCCAUGGUAUCUCCAGAGCGUAAUGAUGUACGCGAAGGACCUGUCUUGAAAUUUUGCAGGGGUUAGGGUUGGGGCCGCAUUGCUACGCGUGCUCGGAACGUGCCAGGUGGUCUUGUUGUAGGUUACUCCGGGCGCGUUUAGCCGUGUCCGGUCGCUUAACGGCCGGACUCGAGAAUUGCCUUAAGAGGCUGCACUGUACUUCUGCCGCGAGAGCCGCUGUAUGUUCUUCCAUUCGAAGAGAGCGUUCAGUGUUUCCGUUGACCGUGAUGACUCCUCGAGGGCCUGGCAUCUUGAGCUUGAGGUAUGCGUAGUGCAGCACCGCGUUGAACUUUGCAAGCGUGGUACGUCCGAGCAGAGCAUGAUAGCCGUUGCGGAACGGAACUAUGUCGAAGAUUAACUCCUCGCUUCGGAAGUUAUCCGGGGAUCCGAAGACCACUUCCAGUGUAACUGAGCCUGUACAAUUGGCCUCUACACCUGGUAUGACGCCUUUAAAGGUCGUCUUUGUAGGCUUAAUCCUUGAGGGGUCUAUGCCCAUUUUGCGCACUGUAUCCUGAUAAAGCAGGUUCAGGCUGUUGCCGCCGUCCAUCAGGACUCUGGUGAGGUGAAAUCCAUCGACGAUUGGGUCUAAAACCAAUGCGGCGAAUCCGCCGUGGUGGAUGCUGGUGGGGUGGUCCCUUCGAUCAAAAGUGAUCGGGCAGGAGGACCAUGGAUUUGAACUUCGGGGCAACUGGCUCCAUCGCGUAUACAUCCCUGAGUGCACGCUUCCGCUCCCUUUUGGGUAUGUGGGUUGCGUAUAUCAUGUUCACCGUCCGCACUUGUGGGGGGAAACCCUUCUGUCCUCUAUUGUUCGGCGGUCGGGUCUCUUCCUCGUCAUCGCUAUGCAGCCCCUUGUCGUUGUUUUCGGCAAUUAACUUGCCUGCCUGCUUGAAUACCCAACAGUCCCUGUUGGUGUGGUUAGCUGGCUUUUCGGGAGUGACGUGUAUCUGGCACGAGCGGUUGAGUAUUCGGUCCAAAUUGGACGGACCCGGAGUAGUUCUUUUGAAUGGCUUUUUCCGCUGACCGGGUUUAGAGCCUCUGAAUCCGGCAUUGACUGCCGUAUCCUCACUAUUGUCGCUGUUAAUGCGGCGUUUGUUUUUGUUGCGACGCGACCUGCCAUUGCGGUCCUUCAUAUCCGGACUGCCAGAAUUUUUGCUGAGGUUGUUGCUGCGGGCUAGCCAGCUGUCCUCACCCGCGCAGAAGCGGGUCAUGAGUGAUGUGAGGGCUGCCAUGGAUUUCGGCUUUUCUUGUCCUAGGUGCCGGGCAAGCCACUCAUCGCGGAUGUUAUGUUUGAAGGCCGCGAGGGCCUCCGCAUCCGGACAGUCGACGAUUUGAUUUUUCUUAGUUAGGAACCGUGUCCAGAAUUGUCUGGCCAAUUCGUCUGGCUGCUGAAUUAUAUGGCUUAGGUCAUCAGCGUCAGGUGGUCGCACAUACGUGUCUUGGAAGUUAUCGAGGAAUGCGGCUUCUAGGUCUUCCCAACUCCCAAUUGACUCUGCUGGCAAGCUGUUAAGCCAAUGCCGGGCUGGUCCUUUAAGCUUGAGUGGGAGGUAUUUGACGGCGUGAAGAUCAUCACCGCGGGCCAUGUGGAUAUGAAGGAGAUAGUCUUCGAUCCAAACCGCGGGGUCUGUUGUGCCAUCAUAAGAUUCAAUAUUCACGGGUUUAAACCCUUCGGGGAUUUGAUGAUCCAUUACUUCAUCUGUGAAGCAUAGUGGGUGUGCGGCGCCUCUGUAUUGGGCGAUAUCAUGACGAAGUUCAAAAGAGUUUUGUCUACUGUGUUCGGCCCGGCCGGACUUACUGCGACGGUUGUCGUCACGUAUCAUGGGGCGCCCACGCGAUCCAUAGAUUGAUCUUGAUUGUCUUGCCUUAUCCUCCAAUAUAUCUCACAAGUCCAGAGCGUUCCCCUGUGGCCUUGUGCUUUUCGAGCGAUGCCGGGGUACGGUUCUAGUGGAGGACCUAGAGGCCUCUCUGUCGCAGCCACGGGGUGGUCGGUCAGCCGUAUUGUCUGCUGGUGAUGCAGGUUCAUAUGCCUCCUCCUCUAAUCGGGGGAGCAGCUUGUGUUUAGGGUAGCUUUUGGAGGGGCGUUCGAGCUCAUGCUCUUCGGCCGCAAGGACUUUCAGUCCAUCUGUCGGCUAGCAGAUCUUGAUCAGCUCUAAGCUGCUGCUGCUUUUUCUUGAGGCUGUUUGCCAUGGCCAUAAGCCUGCGUUUAAAACGCUCUUGUUCAACGGGAUCCUCAGGCACGAUGAAUUUGUCGUCGUCGAGGCUUGCCUCGUCUCCGGAGGGAGGCAUGUAAUCCUCUACCUCUUCGUCUACUGCUCUCUCAUGAGGGCUAGCAUCUCCGUCCUCCUGUGCUGAAUCUUGCAGGAGGGGGUUGUCUUCGGCAUUGUCUGGGGUGUUAUUAUCUCUGGUGCCGGAAUCUCCAUUCUUGCUGUGGCGGGAUUUAGAGCGGCGCCGCUGACGCCGGCGCUUGGGCUGUUUCUUGGAGGGGUCAUCCUCCGCUGUUCCUUCGCAAUUCCCGUCCUUUGGGAUAUCCACCAUGUAUAUGUCAUAUGAUGAGGUGGCUUUCCAGUGCCCAGUAGGCGCUGGUUCUUGGUCGUCUCCGGCAUUGUCGUCCAUACCGUUGAUGUCUUUGGAGUCGAAGUCUAGCAUGUCGGUUAGAUCGUCGAUAGUGGCUACUAAGUGGGUGGUGGGUGGGCUUUGAAUUUCUUUGUCGUCCGCAUCCCAACCGUCCUGACCGUAGUCUGGCAAGGGCUCUCCUGAUAACGAGAGAUACUUUAGCGAACUCAAGAUGUCGCUGAAAGGUGAGUGUUGAAAGAUGUCCGCAGCGGUGAAUUCCAUGAUCGGCGCCCAAUCGGAUUCGAUUGGAGGGGGCGCGGGAGGUUCGGAGUCCGGCGAGGAGUCCGGCACCUCGGAGUCACGAGAUUCAUGAGGGACAAGGUCAGUGUUCGGCUCCAUCGUCGUGGAGGUUGCAGCCCCUGAGGCGGUGUCUAGCCACCCGUCCUCGAUCUGCACAGCCGGCUCCGAAUUAAGGAUCGGAGCGGACUCGUGUGCAGCCUCCAGAGCACUGUCCGGCUGCAGAGCUAAAUCAUGCCCAUCGUGACAGUGCGGCGCGUUCGGCUGUGGAUCGAAUCCAUCGAAGAUCAAGUCUCCGCGGAUGUCAGCCGUGAAGUUCAAACUUCCCAAUCUGACCUGACAGCCAGGGGCGUAGCUUUCGAUCUGCUCCAGAUGGCCAAGCGAAUUGGCACGCAGUGCAAAGCCACCGAAUACGAAGAUCUGUCCGGGGAGAAAGGUCUCACCCUGGACUGCGUCAUUGUUGAUGAUCGAAGAAGCCAUCGGGCCUAUCGGUGAUGACACAGAGGAAGUCUCAGUGAAAGCACCAAUGUCGGUGUCAAAACCGGCGGAUCUCGGGUAGGGGGUCCCGAAUUGUGCGUCUAGGCGGAUGGUAACAGGAGACAAGGGACACGAUGUUUUACCCAGGUUCGGGCCCUCUUGAUGGAGGUAAAACCCUGCGUCCUGCUUGAUUGAUAUUGAUGAUGUGGGUAUUACAAGAGUAGAUCUACCACGAGAUCAAGGAGGCUAAACCCUAGAAGCUACCCUAUGGUAUGAUUGUUGUUCGUCCUAUGGACUAAAGCCAUCCGGUUUAUAUAGACACCGGAGAGGGCUAGGGUUACACAGAGUCGGUUACAAUGGUAGGAGAUCUACAUAUCCGUAUUGCCAAGCUUGCCUUCCACGCCAAGGAAAGUCCCAUCCGGACACGGGACGAAGUCUUCAAUCUUGUAUCUUCAUAGUCUUGGAGUCCGUCCGAUGAUGAUAUUUCGGCUAUCCGGACACCCCUAGUCCAGGACUCCCUCAGAGAGGUUGGGGAAGACUCCGUCCAGCAGCAGCACAACAGCGUGGUGGUGAUGGAGGAGCGUGGUAUUCCAGCAGGGCUUCACCAAGCACCGCGAGAGAUGAGGAGAAAGAGAGGUAGGGCUGCGCCAGGGAGAGGUGGAAACUCUUGUGUAUGGCAGCCCCAAAACCUCAAGUAUAUAUAGGGGAGAGGGAGGGGCUGCGCCCCCUUAGGGUUCCCACCCCAAGGGGUGCGGCUGCCCCAAAAACCCAUCUAGGGUGGCGGCCAAGGGGGGGGGGAGAGGGGAAACUUUCCCCCCAAGUAAGGUGGGUGCGCCCCCCUCCCCAAACCCUAGGCGCCUUGGGCCCUUGUGGGGGCGCACCAGCCCACCUGGGGCUGGUCCCCUCCCACACUUGACCCAUGCAGCCCUCUGGGGCCGGUGGCCCCACUUGGUGGACCCCUGGGAUCCUCCCGGUGGUCCCGGUACGUUACCGAUAACACCCGAAACCUUUCCGGUGACCAAAACAGGACUUCCCAUAUAUAAAUCUUUACCUCCGGACCAUUCCGGAACUCCUCGUGACAUCCUGGAUCUCAUCCGGGACUCCGAACAACAUUCGGUAACCACGUAUAUCUAUUCCCUAUAACCCUAGCGUCAUCGAACCUUAAGUGUGUAGACCCUACGGGUUCGGGAACCAUGCAGACAUGACCGAGACGUUCUCCGGUCAAUAACCAACAGCGAGAUCUGGAUACCCAUGUUGGCUCCCACAUGUUCCAUGAUUAUAUCAUCGGGUGAACCACGAUGUCAAGGACUCUAUCAAUCCCGUAUUCAAUUCCCUUUGUCUAGCGGUAUUGUACUUGCCCGAGAUUCGAUCGUUGGUAUGCCGAUACCUUGUUCAAUCUCGUUACCGGCAAGUCUCUUGUCAGGACCCCGACUCGAUGUCACAUCGAUCUAGUCGGUAACACCUCAUAUCACUUUGCGGCCUCACGCACGGUAUCCCCACGGGUGUCGCCUUACCUUUGCCCGGGACCGUUUGCGCCUUUUGGCUCACGUAUAUGAUAGUGUCGCUAGCAUCCAUAUGAUAAGGAGCCCGGGCUGACAUGACUAGCCGUAAAUCCAAAGUGGCACAGACUUACAGGGACAGGCAUCCAUGACCCAGCUUCGAACGUGUCGGUCAUCAGCAAGUGGGUCCGGGCUGUAGCACUGGGCUAGCAGGACUCCGGUAAACCGGGCUGUAGCGGGCUAACAGGACUCCGGUACUCAAUGCGUGACAUUUCCCCGAAGGGACAGACACAGGAUCGAAGAAGGACACAUGCCGGCCAGCCUAGGUGUUCCAGAGCAGUAGCAAGCUACCAUGGCUCAGCGGUAACACUAGGAGACAUUUCCCGGUAAGAGAGGCUACUAAAGAUAAACAACUAGAUAGUCAGAUCCCACACAUACCAAGCAUUUCAAUCAUACACACAAUAUGCUCGAUAUGUGCAAAUACAACGAAGCAUCACAACAUGACUCUACGACACAAGUACUUUAUUUAAGGCUCAGGGAGCCAUACAUAACAUACACAGAGGAACGGGUCUCACGACCCAGCAUUCAAGUCAUACAGUCAUACAAACCAGCAGCGGAAGUAACUUGUCUGAGUACAGACAACUAGUAAAAUAAAAGAGGCUUGGAAAGCCUAGCUAUACUAUGUGGUCCUUCACAAGCUCAGGAUCACCACCUGGGCCUUUAGCCUACUCAUUGAUGUCAACGUCUACAUAGAACCCAUCAGAAGGGGUUGCAGCGUCUUCUGUAAAAAUGUAAAUUAUAGCAACAUGAGUACAAAGGUACUCAGCAAGACUUACAUCAGAUCCUACAUACAUGCAUAUUAUCAAGAAGGGUUGGUGGAGUUAUUGCAGCAAGCCAGCUUUGACUCUUGGCUAGACUAUCCUACGAUACUCCAACUUGAAAUGGUUUUGCGCACACGAGUCCACUACUCACCACUUCAAUACACUACCGAGGAUCCACCUCCGUCUUCCUACGGAAGAGCCAUCCUCGGCACUCACACUUAUCUUGAGGCUUUUAGCAGUUUCCAUUUACUUGUCUAUGAACUGUAUAGGCAACCAAGUAGUCCUUUACCGCGGACGCGGCUAUUCGAAUAGAUUAUGAUAACCCUGCAGGGGUGUACUUCUUCAUACAUGUUUCCACCACUUAGCGUCUGCACAUGACAUGUGCUCGGCAGACUUCAAGCGAAAGCCGACGUGGGUGUAGACCACGACCUACCUAAACACUUAAGCCUCUAGUCCAGGUGUAUCGCCUAUUCAGGUUCCAUCCGCAGGGAGUCCGGCCGAGGUUUCCCAUACGGCCCCGAACGAUGUGAACAGGGUUCCCGAGAUACCUAACGGGUAUUCGGUACACCCGGCCACGUACCUACCGCAUCACAGCCCACCCCUACGGUCAGCGCUGUCCACGGCCUCCAGUAGGCUACAAACACCAGAAACUACUUGCAACUCCUGGACAGAGAGCUAGGGUGAAUAAGAAGUCGAGCGGGGUCAUAUUUCAGGGCCCAAUGCAUGGUAGUAGCUGUAUCUUAAAUCACACAUACAGAUCUCAGUGCUUAAGGUCGGCUUCAAUGAAACAACCCACCAUGUACUCCUACAUGGCCUCUCAUCGAUACCUUUACCAAAUCGUGUUCACCACACCACUCUCAUUACCGACAUAAUCAUUUCACUCUAGCCCAUCACCCAGAUGAACCAGACCUGACAUGACUCUAAGCAUAGCAGGCAUAGCAAGGUAGGAACAACACAUACAUAUGGCUCAUACAACUCCUACACAUGCUAGUGGGUUUCAUCUAGUUACUGUGGCAAUGACAGGUCAUGCAGAGGAAAUGGGUUCAACUACCGUAGCACACAGCAGUUUGAAACGCGUUGUCUUAAUGCAGUAAAAGAGAGCAGGAGCGAGAACAUGGGAUUGUAUCGGUAUGAUCAAAUGGUUGGUUGCUUGCCUGAUGGUUCGAUGCACUGAUACGGUUCUUCGUUAGGGUAAUCACGGUACUCCUCGGAGGCAGAACCUGUCGCAAAGGACACCGAUACACAACCAUCACCAAACAAUGUGCAACAAUAUGAUGCAUGCAUGAAACAUGGCAAUAUGAGUGUGUUGAGCUAAUGCAACUAAAACCAGAAGGGUUUGAACCAAUUUGAAUCAAAGAUUCAAAUUUCAAACUCAAACAUGGCCUUUUAAAGUGCUUUUCCUUGUUCUGCAUUAAACAUCAAGUUAACUUGUUUAGUCAUGCAUGAAAAUAGUACAGAUGGAUAGAUUGGAUUUUUCUGAUCAUUUUUCAUAUAUAAUUUGUCUGAUUUGGAGUUACAGAAUAAAAGUUAUGAAUUUUUGAAGUUUAAAUAAUAUUCUGGAAUUUCCUGAUUUAAUUUAAAUCCAGAAAUAUAUAUAUUGCACCAGCAUGACGUCAGCAUGACAUCAGUGGUCAACUGCGGCUGGCUGGGGUCAAACCUGACGUGUGGGGUCCACACGUCAGUGACAGGGGGGUUUAACAGGGUUAAUUUAAUCCUAAUUAGGAAUUAGUGGUGCUGGGGCCCACUGGUCAGUGUUAGGGGGUUAACUAACAGUGAUUAGCACUAAUCUGACCACCUGGCCGACGGGGCCCACGCGUCAGUGACCCUGGGGGGGUCAAACCCCAGGUCGAACAGGUCAAACCCACCGGCGACAUGACGCCGGCGAGGCCCGAGACGGCGGCGCGAUACGGAAACGCGCUACAGGGCACGGGCGAGGCCGUGCUUGGGCUCGUUGGAGAGCCCUUGCUCCCGCGCGUCGAACGGUGGUGGUGGCCGUGCCUGUGGUGGCCGGUACCGACGACGGCGAGCUCGUGAGCGGCGGCCGGAGUUCGGGUGGUGGCGGGUUUGGCGCUACGAGCGGUAGUUUGGCGCGCUGAGGGCACUAGGGAGAAGCCCUUGCUUCUCCGCAUCCAAAGGAACGGACGGGAGGCCGCGAGGUGGCCGGAGUUGAGCACGGCGUCGACCUUGGCGGCGGCCGGAGCUCGGGCGAGCUCGGAGUCGGUGUUAGGGAGCUCGGCAGGGGGCAAAGGGGGGUGUUACGACCUCCUGGGGUUGCACUGAGCACGGCCGCGUGCUCGGUUGCAGCUCUAGGCAACGGUGGCUACGGCGGCGACAUCGCCGGCGGCGUGGAGUUCUCGGCCAAGACGGGGUUAAGGCCUAGAGGUCGAAAGAGACCAGGGGAGAAGGGGAAAACGACUCGGGGGCUCACCGUGAGUCCGUUUGGAGGGUCAGUGGGCUCGAGGGCGGCCGGAGUGCAGCGAAUCGACGGCGACGAUCUCCGGUGGCCGAGGAGGGGAACGGUGACGUGGGCGGCGAUGCAGGGCUUCUGGAGGGCCGUGGAUCGGUGGGGAGGAAGAGGGGGUCGAGGCGGAGCUCGCAAGCACAGCGAGGGGUCGAGGGGGUGGCCGGUGACGGCUGCUAUGGCAAACGGCGGCGAUGGGUGCGUCGGGUGAGAGAGAGAGCAGGGGGAGAAGCACGGGAGAGAGGGGGGGAUAAGGCCAGGGGAUCGGGGCGGCACCGAGAAGAACCGUCGCGGCGUCGCGCUGGCGGGGUAGGCAGGCACGCGAGCUGGUGGCGUGGCGCUCCGCCCGUGCGUGCGCGCCGGCCACACGCCUGGCCGACUGGCGCCAGGAGGACGACGGCGGUGGUGGGCUGGGCUGGCUUGCUGGGUCAGAGGCGCCAGGUAAGAAGCCCAGGUAAGGUUUCCCUCUUUUAUUUAUUUCUGUUUUCUAAUUUCUGACAUUUGUUUUGAUUUAAAUAAAAUAUUAAAUCAUUUUAUUACCUUAUGCCAAUUUUUGCAGGAGCUAGAUAUAUUAUUCCAGAGCUCCCCAACAGGUGGCAUAAUUUUUGGACAUAUAUUAAUAUAUAUAACUAAUAUAUUUCCAAUGCAAAUAUUAAUGCAUUAAUUCCAAAUGCCCAAAAUAAAUACCUAUGAGCUCUGAAAAAUAUUGGUUUGAUUUUUAUCUCUGUCCAAUAUUUUCAGAGAGCAACAUGAGCAUUUUCUUGGACCCUUUUGGAGAAAUUUUUAUUUGGGUCAUUUUCAAAAAUGAUUCCGAGGGUUUCACAAAUCCCCAUUUCAAAAUUAAAUGGAAUUUUAAACAUGAUGCACACACUCUGAUGCAUGACUAGCUAGGGUGUGACAACUCACCCCCACUCAAAAGAAUCUCGUCCCGAGAUUUGGGUUCCUCCGGGAAGAAGGCGGGAUACUCGAGUCGAAGACGAUCCUCCCUUUCCCAAGUUGCUUCAUCCUCAGAAUGGUGCGACCAUUGUACUUUGAGAAACUUGAUAUUAUGACGUCGAGUGGUACGUUCGGCCUGAUCGAGGAUACGAACGGGGUACUCUCGAUAUGUAAGAUUAUCUUGGACAUCAAGCGUUUCGUGGUCUACUCCACGGAUAGGAUCCGAGAAGCAAUGCCUGAGUUGAGAAACAUGGAAGACAUCGUGGACUCUGGAGAGGUGCGGAGGUAGUUCCAACUGGUAGGCAACUUCUCCUUGUUUGGCGAGAAUGCGAAAAGGUCCAAUGUAACGAGGAGCCAAUUUGCCUUUGAUACCGAAACGAUGGGUUCCCUUCAGAGGGGUGACCCGAAGAUAAGCCUUCUCGUCAAUCUCGAAAGUCAUAGCCUUAUGUUUUCGGUCAUAUUGACUCUUUUGACGAGAUUGGGCUGUUUUCAACUUUUCACGAACGAUAUGAACUUGCUCUUCUGCUUCCUGAAUCAUAUCCGGGCCAAAGAAUUGUCUUUCCCCGGUCUCUGACCAGUUAAGGGGUGUUCGACACCGUCGUCCAUAGAGAACUUCAAAAGGGGCUUUACCCAAGCUAGAUUGAUAGCUGUUGUUGUAAGCGAAUUCGGCAAAUGGAAGGCACUUCUCCCAGUUCAUUCCGAAUGAGAUAAUAGAGGCUCGAAGCAUGUCUUCUAGAAUCUGGUUGACGCGUUCCACUUGACCACUCGACUGAGGGUGGAAGGCGGUGCUAAAGGAGAGACGGGUUCCCAUAGCAUUUUGGAAGCUUUCCCAAAAUCGAGAGGUGAAAAGACUUCCUCGAUCCGAGUUAAUUUCCAAAGGAACACCAUGGAGGGACACUAUUCGGGAGAGGUAUAAGUCUGCCAGCUGGCUAGCGGUUAUACUCUCAUGAACAGGUAAGAAAUGGGCUACUUUGGAAAGACGAUCGACAACGACGAAGAUAGCAUUAUUCCCUCUCCUGGUCCUGGGAAAACCGGUAAUGAAAUCCAUACCAAUUUUAUCCCAUUUCCAUUCAGGAAUAGCUAGGGGUUGAAGGGUGCCAGCAUGCCGUUGAUGCUCUGCUUUUACACGACGAUAGACGUCGCAAUUAGCAAUAUACUGAGCAAUUUCUCUCUUCAUCCUAGUCCACCAGAACCUCUGGCGUAGGUCCUGAUACAUCUUAGUACUACCGGGAUGAAUGGUGAGAGGAGAUUCAUGAGCCUCCUUAAGGAUCAACUGCCGUAGAUGCUGGUUCUUGGGAACCACUAGACGGUUCUCAAAGUACACAACACCAUGAUCAUUUGUGGAGAAACAACUAGCACCUCCGCUAGCAAAGUUCUCUUUGAUUUUAGAUAUUCCCUUAUCUCGCUUUUGGGCAGCGAUGAUUUGAUCCGUAAGAGUAGGUUUUGCCACCAAGGUGGAAAGAAAACCUUGAGGAACAAUGUGAAGGUUAAGCUUCCGAAAUUCCUCAUGGAGAAGCGGUUGACUUUGUUGUAACAUCAGGUUGUUACAAUAAGAUUUACGACUUAGCGCAUCAGCCAUGACGUUGGCUUUCCCUGGGGUGUAGGUUAUUCCUAAGUCAAAGUCUGUGAUCAACUCAACCCAACGUCUUUGCCUGAGAUUCAGAUCCGGUUGGGUGAAAAUGUACUUCAGACUUUGGUGAUCAGUGAAUAUUUCGCAACGGUUACCGAGGAGGUAAUGUCGCCAGGUCUUGAGUGCAUAGACUACGACUGCAAGCUCUAGAUCAUGAGUAGGAUAAUUCUCCUCAUGUGGGUGCAAUUGCCGUGAAGCGUAGGCAAUUACGUGUCGAUCUUGCAUGAGAAUGCAACCUAGUCCUUGUCGCGAGGCGUCGCAGUAGAUAACAAAGUCCUUGGAGAAAUCUGGCGGUACCAGUACGGGAGCAGAGGUCAGGCGUCUUUUCAGUUCCUGAAAGCUGUGCUCACAUUGUGGAGUCCAUUCGAACUUCUUAUCUUUCUUGAGGAGUUCGGUUAGAGGUUUGGCAACUUUGGAGAAGUUUUCGACGAAGCGACGGCAAUAGCUCGCUAAGCCCAGAAAACUCCGAACUUGCUUGACCGAUUCAGGUGGAGUCCAAUUAAGGACGGCUUGAACUCGCUCAGGGUUAACAGCAAUACCUUUACCAGAUAUUACAUGACCCAGAUAGGUCACUUCUGACAACCAAAAUUCACAUUUGGAAAACUUGGCAUAAAGGCGGUGCUCUCGAAGUUUCUUCAACACUAGCCUUAGAUGUUCGGCAUGUUCUUCCUCGUUCUUGGAGUAGAUGAGUAUAUCAUCGAGAUAAACUACGACGAAUUUAUCCAAAUACUCCAUGAAGAUUGAGUUCAUUAACCGAGAAAAGGUGGCUGGAGCGUUGGUUAAGCCGAAGGACAUGACGGUGUACUCGUAUUGGCCAUAACGAGUAACAAAGGCCGUUUUAGGAAUGUCCCUAUUUCUGAUUUUGAUUUGAUGGUAGCCCAACCUCAAAUCCAUCUUGGAGAAGACUGAGGAUCCAGCGAGCUGAUCAUACAGGUCGUUGAUCCUGGGAAGCGGAUAUUUGUUCUUGAUUGUGACCAAAUUGACAGGUCGGUAAUCUACAACCAUCCGGUCCGUACCAUCCUUCUUCUUGACGAAUAGGACGGGGCAAGCCCACGGAGAUGAACUAGGGCAGAUGAAACCCUUUUUCAAGGACUCAUCGAGUUGUUUCUUAAGCUCGGCUAGUUCUAGUGGUGCCAUCUUAUAAGGUCUUCUAGCAAUCGGAACGGUUCCUGGAAUGAGGUCUAUUACGAACUCAACAUCCCUGUCGGGUGGAACACCUGGCAAUUCCUCUGGGAAGACAUCCGGAAAGUCACGGACUACCGGAAUGUCCUCAAGGUCUGGCAAAGGGCUGGCGUUAAGAGAAUAUAAUUGUCGCUUGGCUAUUCGGGUCAAGACAUUGACUAUCUUCCCCGAAGGGUGGGUGAGUUGAACAGUCCUAGAGAAGCAAUCAAUUUGGGCAUGAUGAGCCGACAUCCAGUCCAUACCCAGAAUGAUAUUAAUAUCUGAAGAUUUAAGGGCUAUCAACGAUGCAAGGAAAACAAGUCUGUCGACUUGGAUUUCAUUUCCAUAACUUACCCUAGAGGUCUGCCAUCUAGAACCAGGAGUAGAAAUUUCCAUAGUGGAUGGCAUGUCACAGAAUGCGGUGUUAUGCAAACGAGCAUAGUUCUCGGAUAUAAAUGAAUGAGAGGCUCCUGUAUCGAAAAGAACAGAUGCCGGGUGGCAAUUAACAAGGAGCGUACCGAGAACGACGUUGGGAUCCUCUUGAGCUUCUUCGGCAGAGAUACAAUUGACAUGGCCACAUGAGGCGGUGGCCGGCUUGGCGUGGAACACUUUUCCUGUCGGCUUGCCACGGCCAACAGCUUUAGCAGACUGGUUGGGGUUGGUCUGGGGACACUCACGCAUAUAGUGGCCAGAUUCCCCACACUUGAAACAAGUCAAGGAACUGGUACGUGGAGGAGCAUUGUUGGUUGGACCCCCAUAGGGCUUGGCCGGUGCAGACUGUUGAACAGGGCGAGGCGCCUGGAAAGAUGGCCUCGGUGUGAACCUGGGUGGCAGGGCGGUGUUGGGCACCCACACGCGGCGCUUCUGAGGACCAGCACCGGAUGAGGAACCCAUGUCACGGCCAUGCUUGCGUGUUGCGUCAUAGUCAGUCUGACCAGUUUCAGCACUGAUGGCUUUGUUGACAAGUUUCUGAAAAGAUGUGCACUCAUGCAGACGGAGGUCACGGCGAAGCUCAGGACUAAGUCCCUUACGGAACCUUGCUUGCUUCUUGGCGUCAGUAGAAACUUCCUCGGUUGCAUAUCGUGCGAGGUUACCAAACUCCCUGCUGUAAGCAUCCACAGAAAGUCGGCCCUGAGUGAAACUGCAAAAUUCCUCACGUUUACGGUCCAUGAGACCCUCCGGAAUGUGAUGUUCACGGAAAGCCUCGCUGAACUCAUCCCAAGUAGUGACAUGGCCCGCUGGGCGCAUAGCUCCAUAAUUCUCCCACCAUAGACUGGCGGGGCCUUCAAGAUGAUAUGCAGCAAAGUGACCUUGUCGGCCUCAGCUACUAGCGCGGAACGCAGCUUGUGAGAGAUACUGCGAAGCCAGUCAUCAGCGUCGAGAGGCUCGACGGAGUGGUGGAACGUGGGUGGAUGUAACUUGAUGAAAUCACCGAGUGACACCACGUUAGUCCUCUGAUGGUGUGCUGUGUUCUGUUCAAUACGCUCCAACAAACGGUUGGUCUCCCGCUUGUUUCUUUCGGCUUCCAUCAUAACCUCGGCUAGGGAAGGAGGAUGAGGCAGAUUUGCAUCCCUGACUUCACUGCCUUCGGCCUGCUCUUGAGGAGCAGGGUUAGCGCACGUGUUGACCAUCCUAGGUAAACAAGACAAUGAUUUAGUCAGGAUGAUAAAAUUCCGACAUAGGAUAUAAAAUGUAAGGAAUAACUCGAAAUGCAAGAUGAUCAUCCGUAUGACAUGGUAAAUACAGAAACUGCUUCUUUAUCCCAUCGUCAUACACACCAUACAGGGUUUAGUACAAGACCAAACAAAGUACUAUUACGGUGAAAAGAGGAUUACAUCUCAUCGGAGGCAUUCCAAGCUCCUAUACAUUAUUUUUCUACUCCUCCGGAAAGAGUACAAACUAGGUCAUAUCCCACGAGUCACGCAGGACGAUAGACGACACAGCUAGUGCGAACUAGUGAUACUACCACUAACUCAGACCGAUCCGUAGUAGUCCUCGUAGAAGUCACCUCCAUAGCCUGGAAGCUCAACAUGAUCAUCCGGAAACAGACGAUCUCGCGGAGCUUCUGGACCAUAGGGGCUAGGAUGAGGUCUUGGACCAACAGACGGUGGCCUGCGGGGACCGCGAGGUGGGGUGAUGCCUCCUACAUCACGCCAACCCAUCACGUCUGGCAGAGUAGAUCUCACAGGAUAGAGAUCGCGCAUAUCCGAAUAUCCAGCUUGCACCGCCGGUGCGAACCGAGUCAAUGUGGCCCAGUGGUCAGCACGGGUAUUGAAGAGCUCUAACCUCAAGGCCCGAUUUUCACGGUCCUUAUCCUCGAGCAUCUCAGCAGUGGUGCGAGUCCGUGAAUCCUCCUGGGUGGGGUCAGCAUAGAUAGCCUGGAGAUACCCUUGUGCUCCCGGAAGUGAUCCUGGCAUAUACCGGAAAUCAGAGUCCCGAAAUAGACCAGAUCUGACUCGCAUGAUGGUCAUCAUAGAGUAGGCGGCGUCCUGCACAGCCAUCUCAAUAGUAACCCCGAGUCCAUAGGAGCAGUGAAGGGGCUCGGUGGAUCCAGGAUAAGAUGGAAAUAUCCUGACAGUGCAGAGAUACUGGCUUUGAUUAAAGUCCCGAAAUUGCUCUUCGACCGUGUACUCAGGAUACCAGCGGUAUCCAGCCUUAGUCAUUACCCUGACCAACUUGGCAGUAUGGCCGGGUACAUCUAGGCAUCGAGUCAGGCGAACCACUUGAUUGAGGUCGCGAGUGGCCAUCUGAAAGCAUAAUCAUAAUGCAAAGGCAUUAGAAUUUCUAGCAAAAUUUCGGCAGCAUAACAGCUGUAAAUGCUCAAAAAGGAUUUUGAGACAUUUGACAAAGGAUUUCAUACACACUCAACAUCAUCAUAUCAAAUUCUGAGUCCAUACUAGCAACAUAAUAUGGUAGAAGAACUGAACUAGGCUUGUAUCCAUCAAACCUAUAAGGUACUACUGAUUAGUAACACGUGAUCCUGAUAGAGAGAACAGAUCCUAAUUCCUUAACCCCCGGUGGAAGAAUAGACUGACUCAGAUCAGAAUGUCAUAAGAUAAAGGAGUAAAAAGAGCCUCACGUUCCAACCCACAAACAAUUCCCCUACAUAUAACUAAAGAAUUUCUAGACUCAACAUCGACCAGUUUGGCUUGGAGAACCUACAGGCAGUCCGGCUCUGAUGCCAACGCUGUCAGGACCCCGACUCGAUGUCACAUCGAUCUAGCCGGUAACACCUCAUAUCACUUUGCGGCCUCACGCACGGUAUCCCCACGGGUGUCGCCUUACCUUUGCCCGGGACCGUUUGCGCCUUUUGGCUCACGUAUAUGAUAGUGUCGCUAGCAUCCAUAUGAUAAGGAGCCCGGGCUGACAUGACUAGCCGUAAAUCCAAAGUGGCACAGACUUACAGGGACAGGCAUCCAUGACCCAGCUUCGAACGUGUCGGUCAUCAGCAAGUGGGUCCGGGCUGUAGCACUGGGCUAGCAGGACUCCGGUAAACCGGGCUGUAGCGGGCUAACAGGACUCCGGUACUCAAUGCGUGACAUUUCCCCGAAGGGACAGACACAGGAUCGAAGAAGGACACAUGCCGGCCAGCCUAGGUGUUCCAGAGCAGUAGCAAGCUACCAUGGCUCAGCGGUAACACUAGGAGACAUUUCCCGGUAAGAGAGGCUACUAAAGAUAAACAACUAGAUAGUCAGAUCCCACACAUACCAAGCAUUUCAAUCAUACACACAAUAUGCUCGAUAUGUGCAAAUACAACGAAGCAUCACAACAUGACUCUACGACACAAGUACUUUAUUUAAGGCUCAGGGAGCCAUACAUAACAUACACAGAGGAACGGGUCUCACGACCCAGCAUUCAAGUCAUACAGUCAUACAAACCAGCAGCGGAAGUAACUUGUCUGAGUACAGACAACUAGUAAAAUAAAAGAGGCUUGGAAAGCCUAGCUAUACUAUGUGGUCCUUCACAAGCUCAGGAUCACCACCUGGGCCUUUAGCCUACUCAUUGAUGUCAACGUCUACAUAGAACCCAUCAGAAGGGGUUGCAGCGUCUUCUGUAAAAAUGUAAAUUAUAGCAACAUGAGUACAAAGGUACUCAGCAAGACUUACAUCAGAUCCUACAUACAUGCAUAUUAUCAAGAAGGGUUGGUGGAGUUAUUGCAGCAAGCCAGCUUUGACUCUUGGCUAGACUAUCCUACGAUACUCCAACUUGAAAUGGUUUUGCGCACACGAGUCCACUACUCACCACUUCAAUACACUACCGAGGAUCCACCUCCGUCUUCCUACGGAAGAGCCAUCCUCGGCACUCACACUUAUCUUGAGGCUUUUAGCAGUUUCCAUUUACUUGUCUAUGAACUGUAUAGGCAACCAAGUAGUCCUUUACCGCGGACGCGGCUAUUCGAAUAGAUUAUGAUAACCCUGCAGGGGUGUACUUCUUCAUACAUGUUUCCACCACUUAGCGUCUGCACACGACAUGUGCUCGGCAGACUUCAAGCGAAAGCCGACGUGGGUGUAGACCAUGACCUACCUAAACACUUAAGCCUCUAGUCCAGGUUUAUCGCCUAUUCAGGUUCCAUCCGCAGGGAGUCCGGCCGAGGUUUCCCAUACGGCCCCGAACGAUGUGAACAGGGUUCCCGAGAUACCUAACGGGUAUUCGGUACACCCGGCCACGUACCUACCGCAUCACAGCCCACCCCUACGGUCAGCGCUGUCCACGGCCUCCAGUAGGCUACAAACACCAGAAACUACUUGCAACUCCUGGACAGAGAGCUAGGGUGAAUAAGAAGUCGAGCGGGGUCAUAUUUCAGGGCCCAAUGUAUGGUAGUAGCUGAUUCUUAAAUCACACAUACAGAUCUCAGUGCUUAAGGUCGGCUUCAAUGAAACAACCCACCAUGUACUCCUACAUGGCCUCUCAUCGAUACCUUUACCAAAUCGUGUUCACCACACCACUCUCAUUACCAACAUAAUCAUUUCACUCUAGCCCAUCACCCAGAUGAACCAGACCUGACACGACUCUAAGCAUAGCAGGCAUAGCAAGGUAGGAACAACACAUACAUAUGGCUCAAUCAACUCCUACACAUGCUAGUGGGUUUCAUCUAGUUACUGUGGCAAUGACAGGUCAUGCAGAGGAAAUGGGUUCAACUACCGUAACACACAGCAGUUUGAAUCGCGUUGUCUUAAUGCAGUAAAAGAGAGCAGGAGCGAGAACAUGGGAUUGUAUCGAUAUGAUCAGAUGGUUGGUUGCUUGCCUGAUGGUUCGUUGCACGGAUACGGUUCUUCGUUAGGGUAAUCACGGUACUCCUCGGGGACAGAUCCUGUCGCAAAGGACAUCGAUACACAAACAUCACCAAACAAUAUGCAACAAUAUGAUGCAUGCAUGAAACAUGGCAAUAUGAGUGUGUUGGGCUAAUGCAACUAAAACCAGAAGGGUUUGAACAAAUUUGAAUCAAGGAUUCAAAUUUCAAAUUCAAAUAUGGCCUUUUAAAGUGCCUUUUCUUGUUCUGAUUAAAACAUCAACUUAACUUGUUUGAUCAUGCAUGGAAAUGGUACAGAUGGAUAGAUUGGAUUUUUCUGAUCAUUUUUCAUAUAUAAUUUGUCCAAUUUGGAGUUACAGAAUAAAAGUUAUGAAUUUUUGAAGUUUAAUUAAUAUUCUGGAAUUUCCUGAUUUAAUUCAACGCUGUCAGGACCCCGACUCGAUGUCACAUCGAUCUAGCCGGUAACACUUCAUAUCACUUUGCGGCCUCACGCACGGUAUUCCCACGGGUGUCGCCUUACCUUUGCCCGGGACCGUUUGCGCCUUUUGGCUCACGUAUAUGAUAGUGUCGCUAGCAUCCAUAUGAUAAAGAGCCCAGGCUGACAUGACUAGUUGUAAACCCAAAGUGGCACAGACUUACAGGGACAGGCAUCCAUGACCCAGCUUCGAACGUGUCGGUCAUCAGCAAGUGGGUCCGGGCUGUAGCACUGGGCUAGCAGGACUCCGGUAAACCGGGCUGUAGCGGGCUAACAGGACUCCGGUACUCAAAGCGUGACAUUUCCCCGAAGGGACAGACACAGGAACGAAGAAGGACACAUGCCGGCCAGCCUAAGUGUUCCAGAGCAGUAGCAAGCUACCAUGGCUCAGCGGUAACACUAGGAGACAUUUCCCGGUAAGAGAGGCUACUAAAGAUAAACAACUAGAUAGUCAGAUCCCACACAUACCAAGCAUUUCAAUCAUACACACAAUAUGCUCGAUAUGUGCAAAUACAACGAAGCAUCACAACAUGACUCUAUGACACAAGUACUUUAUUUAAGGCUCAGGGAGCCAUACAUAACAUUCACAAAGGUACGGUCUCACGACCCAACAUACAAGUCAUACAGUCAUACAAGCCAGCAGCGGAAGUACAUUGUCUGGGUACAGACAACUAGUAAAAUAAAAGAGGCUUGGAAAGCCUAGCUAUACUACGUGGUCCAUCACAAGCUCAGGGUCACCACCUGGGUCUUAAGCCUACUUGUUGAUGUCAACGUCUACAUAGAACCCAUCAGAAGGGGUUGCAGCGUCUUCUGUAAAAAUGUAGAUUAUAGCAACAUGAGUACAAAGGUACUCAGCAAGACUUACAUCAGAUCCUACAUACAUGCAUAGUAUCAAGAAGGGUUGGUGGAGUUAUUGCAGCAAGCCAGCUUUGACUCUUGGCUAGACUAUCCUACGAUACUCCAACUUGAAAUGUUUUGCGCACACGAGUCCACUACUCACCACUUCAAUACACUACCGAGGAUCCACCUCCGUCUUCCUACGGAAGAGCCAUCCUCGGCACUCACACUUAUCUUGAGGCUUUUAGUAGUUUCCAUUUACUUGUCUAUGAACUGUAUAGGCAACCAAGUAGUCCUUUACCGCGGACGCGGCUAUUCGAAUAGAUCAUGAUAACCCUGCAGGGGUGUACUUCUUCAUACAUGUUUCCACCACUUAGCGUCUGCACACGACAUGUGCUCGGCAGACUUCAAGCGAAAGCCGACGUGGGUGUAGACCACGACCUGCCUAAACACUUAAGCCUCUAGUCCAGGUUUAUCGCCUAUUCAGGUUCCAUCCGCAGGAAGUCCGGCCGAGGUUUCCCAUACGGCCCCGAACGAUGUGAACAGGGUUCCCGAGAUACCUAACGGGUAUUCGGUACACCCGGCCACGUACCUACCGCAUCACAGCCCACCCCUACGGUCAGCGCUGUCCACGGCCUCCAGUAGGCUACAAACACCAGAAACUACUUGCAACUCCUGGACAGAGAGCUAGGGUGAAUAAGAAGUCGAGCGGGGUCAUAUUUCAGGGCCCAAUGCAUGGUAGUAGCUGUAUCUUAAAUCACACAUACAGAUCUCAGUGCUUAAGGUCGGCUUCAAUGAAACAACCCACCAUGUACUCCUACAUGGCCUCUCAUCGAUACCUUUACCAAAUCGUGUUCACCACACCACUCUCAUUACCGACAUAAUCAUUUCACUCUAGCCCAUCACCCAGAUGAACCAGACCUGACAUGACUCUAAGCAUAGCAGGCAUAGCAAGGUAGGAACAACACAUACAUAUGGCUCAUACAACUCCUACACAUGCUAGUGGGUUUCAUCUAGUUACUGUGGCAAUGACAGGUCAUGCAGAGGAAAUGGGUUCAACUACCGUAGCACACAGCAGUUUGAAACGCGUUGUCUUAAUGCAGUAAAAGAGAGCAGGAGCGAGAACAUGGGAUUGUAUCGGUAUGAUCAAAUGGUUGGUUGCUUGCCUGAUGAUUCGAUGCACUGAUACGGUUCUUCGUUAGGGUAAUCACGGUACUCCUCGGAGGCAGAACCUGUCGCAAAGGACACCGAUACACAACCAUCACCAAACAAUGUGCAACAAUAUGAUGCAUGCAUGAAACAUGGCAAUAUGAGUGUGUUGAGCUAAUGCAACUAAAACCAGAAGGGUUUGAACCAAUUUGAAUCAAAGAUUCAAAUUUCAAACUCAAACAUGGCCUUUUAAAGUGCUUUUCCUUGUUCUGCAUUAAACAUCAAGUUAACUUGUUUAGUCAUGCAUGAAAAUAGUACAGAUGGAUAGAUUGGAUUUUUCUGAUCAUUUUUCAUAUAUAAUUUGUCUGAUUUGGAGUUACAGAAUAAAAGUUAUGAAUUUUUGAAGUUUAAAUAAUAUUCUAGAAUUUCCUGAUUUAAUUUAAAUCCAGAAAUAUAUAUAUUGCGCCAGCAUGACGUCAGCAUGACGUCAGUGGUCAACUGCGGCUGGCUGGGGUCAAACCUGACGUGUGGGGUCCACACGUCAGUGACAGGGGGGUUUAACAGGGUUAAUUUAAUCCUAAUUAGGAAUUAGUGGCGCUGGGGCCCACUGGUCAGUGUCAGGGGGUUAACUAACAGUGAUUAGCACUAAUCUGACCACCUAGCCGACGGGGCCCACGCGUCAGUGACCCUGGGGGGGUCAAACCCCAGGUCGAACAGGUCAAACGCACCGGCGACAUGACGCCGGCGAGGCCCGAGACGGCGGCGCGAUACGGAAACGCGCUACAGGGCACGGGCGAGGCCGUGCUUGGGCUCGUUGGAGAGCCCUUGCUCCCGCGCGUCGAACGGUGGUGGUGGUCGUGCCUGUGGUGGCCGGUACCGACGACGGCGAGCUCGUGAGCGGCGGCCGGAGUUCGGGUGGUGGCGGGUUUGGCGCUACGAGCGGUGGUUUGGCGCGCUGAGGGCACUAGGGAGAAGCCCUUGCUUCUCCGCAUCCAAAGGAACGGACGGGAGGCCGCGAGGUGGCCGGAGUUGAGCACGGCGUCGACCUUGGCGGCGGCCGGAGCUCGGGCGAGCUCGGAGUCGGUGUUAGGGAGCUCGGCAGGGGGCAAAGGGGGGUGUUACGACCUCCUGGGGUUGCACUGAGCACGGCCGCGUGCUCGGUUGCAGCUCUAGGCAACGGUGGCUACGGCGGCGACAUCGCCGGCGGCGUGGAGUUCUCGGCCAAGACGGGGCUAAGGCCUAGAGGUCGAAAGAGACCAGGGGAGAAGGGGAAAACGACUCGGGGGCUCACCGUGAGUCCGUUUGGAGGGUCAGUGGGCUCGAGGGCGGCCGGAGUGCAGCGAAUCGACGGCGACGAUCUCCGGUGGCCGAGGAGGGGAACGGUGACGUGGGCGGCGAUGCAGGGCUUCCGGAGGGCCGUGGAUCGGUGGGGAGGAAGAGGGGGUCGAGGCGGAGCUCGCAAGCNNNNNNNNNNNNNNNNNNNNNNNNNNNNNNNNNNNNNNNNNNNNNNNNNNNNNNNNNNNNNNNNNNNNNNNNNNNNNNNNNNNNNNNNNNNNNNNNNNNNNNNNNNNNNNNNNNNNNNNNNNNNNNNNNNNNNNNNNNNNNNNNNNNNNNNNNNNNNNNNNNNNNNNNNNNNNNNNNNNNNNNNNNNNNNNNNNNNNNNNNNNNNNNNNNNNNNNNNNNNNNNNNNNNNNNNNNNNNNNNNNNNNNNNNNNNNNNGCACAGCGAUGGGUCGAGGGGGUGGCCGGUGACGGCUGCUAUGGCGAAUGGCGGCGAUGGGUGCGUCGGGUGAGAGAGAGAGCAGGGGGAGAAGCACGGGAGAGAGGGGGGGAUAAGGCCAGGGGAUCGGGGCGGCACCGAGAAGAACCGUCGCGGCGUCGCGCUGGCGGGGUAGGCAGGCAGGCGAGCUGGUGGCGUGGCGCUCCGCCCGUGCGCGCGCGCCGGCCACACGCCUGGCCGACUGGCGCCAGGAGGACGACGGCGGUGGUGGGCUGGGCUGGCUUGCUGGGCCAGAGGCGCCAGGUAAGAAGCCCAGGUAAGGUUUCCCUCUUUUAUUUAUUUCUGUUUUCUAAUUUCUGACAUUUGUUUUGAUUUAAAUAAAAUAUUAAAUCAUUUUAUUACCUUAUGCCAAUUUUUGCAGGAGCUAGAUAUAUUAUUCCAGAGCUCCCCAACAGGUGGCAUAAUUUUUGGACAUAUAUUAAUAUAUAUAACUAAUAUAUUUCCAAUGCAAAUAUUUAUGCAUUAAUUCCAAAUGCCCAAAAUAAAUACCUAUGAGCUCUGAAAAAUAUUAGUUUGAUUUUUAUCUCUGUCCAAUAUUUUCAGAGAGCAACAUGAGCAUUUUCUUGGACCCUUUUGGAGAAAUUUUUAUUUGGGUCAUUUUCAAAAAUGAUUCUGAGGGUUUCACAAAUCCCCAUUUCAAAAUUAAAUGGAAUUUUAAACAUGAUGCACACACUCUGAUGCAUGACUAGCUAGGGUGUGACAUCUCUUUACUCGUUCCGUAACACAUCAUCCCGUGAUCAACCCCUUGGUCACAUUGUGCACAUUAUGAUGAUGUCCUACCGAGUGGGCCCAGAGAUACCUCUCCGUUACACGGAGUGACAAAUCCCAGUCUCGAUUCGUGCCAACCCAACAGACACUUUCGGAGAUACCCGUAGUGCACCUUUAUAGCCACCCAGUUACGUUGUGACGUUUGGUACACCCAAAGCAUUCCUACGGUAUCCGGGAGUUGCACAAUCUCAUGGUCUAAGGAAAUGAUACUUGACAUUAGAAAAGCUUUAGCAUACGAACUACACGAUCUUUGUGCUAGGCUUAGGAUUGGGUCUUGUCCAUCACAUCAUUCUCCUAAUGAUGUGAUCCCGUUAUCAAUGACAUCCAAUGUCCAUGGUCAGGAAACCGUAACCAUCUAUUGAUCAACGAGCUAGUUAAUUAGAGGCUUACUAGGGACAUGGUGUUGUCUAUGUACCCACACAUGUAUCUGAGUUUCCUAUCAAUACAAUUAUAGCAUGGAUAAUAAACGAUUAUCAUGAACAAGGAAAUAUAAUAAUAAUAACCAAUUUAUUAUUGCCUCUAGGGCAUAUUUCCAACAGUCUCCCACUUGCACUAGAGUCAAUAAUCUAGUUCGCAUUGCCAUGUGAUUAACACUGAUAGGUCACAUCGCCAUGUGACCAACAUCCAAAGAGUUUACUAGUGUCACUAAACUAGUUCACAUCACCAUGUGAUUAAGACUCAAUGAGUUCUGGGGUUUGAUCAUGUUUUGCUUGUGAGAGAGGUUUUAGUCAACGGGUCUGCAACAUUCAGGUCCGUAUGUAUUUCGCAAAUCUCUAGGUCAUAUUGUAAAUGCUGCUUCCACGCUCCACUUGGAGCUAUUCCAAAUGGUCGCUCCACUAUACGUAUCCGGUUUGCUACUCAGAGUCAUUCGGAUAGGUGUUAAAUCUUGCAUCAACGUAACCCUUUACGUCGAACUCUUUAUCACCUCCAUAAUCGAGAAACAUGUCCUUAUUUACUCCAAGGACAAUUUUGACCACUGUCCAAUGAUCCAUUCCUGGAUCAUUCUUGUACCCCUUGACUGACUCAUGGCAAGGCACACUUCCGGUGCGGUACACAGCAUAGCAUACUAUAGAGCCUACGUCUGAAGCAUAGGGGACGACCUUCGUCCUUUCUCUCUCUUCUGCCGUGGUCGAGCUUUAAUUCUUAACUUCAUACCUUACAACUCAGGCAAGAACUCCUUCUUUGACUGAUCCAUCUUGAACACCUUCAAGAUCAUGUCAAGGCAUGUGCUCAUUUGAAAUUACCAUUCAGCGUUUUUUUAUCUAUCCUCAUAGAUCUUGAUGCUCAAUGUUCAAGCAGCUUAAUCUAGGUUUUCUAUUGGAAAACACUUUUCAAAUAACCUUGUGUGCUUUCCAGAAAUUCUACAUCAUUUCGGAUCAACAAUAUGUCAACAACAUAUACUCAUCAGAAAUGCUAUAGUGCUCCCACUCACUUCUUUGGAAAUACAAGUUUCCCAUAAACAUUGUAUAAACCCAAAAUAUUUGAUCAUCUCAUCAAAGCGUAUAUUCCAACUCCGAGAUGCUUACUCCAAUCCUUAGAAGGAUUGCUGGAGCUUUGCACACUUGUUAGCAUCUUUCAGGAUUGACAAAACCUUCUGGUUGUAUCACAUACAACCUUUCCUCAAGGAUAUGUUCGAGGAAACAAUGUUUUGACAUCCUAUCUGCAAGAUUUCAUAAAUAAUGCAGUAACUGCUAAUCCAAUUCCAACGGACUCUUAGCAUCACUACGAGUGAGAAAGCCUCACCGUAGUCAACUCCUUGAAGUUGUCGGAAAUCAUCUUAACAACAAGUCGAGCUUUCUUAAUGGUGAUACUUACCAUCAUUGUCCGUCUUCCUUUUAAAAUCCAUCUGUACUCAACAACCUUACGACCAUCAAGUAGUUCUUCCAAAGUCUACACUUUGUAUUCAUACAUGGAUCCUCUCUCGGAUUUUAUGGCCUCUCACCAUUUGUCGGAAUCCGGGCCCACCAUUGCUUCUCCAUAGCUCGUAGGUUCAUUGUUGUCUAGCAACAUGACCUCCAAGACAGGAUUACGUACCACUAUGGAGUAAUACGUAUCUUUGUCGACCUACGAGUUUCGGUAGUGAGUUGAUCCAAAGUUUCAUGAUCACUAUCAUAAGCUUCUACUUCAAUUGGUGUAGGUGCCACAGGAACAACUUCCUGUGCCCUGCUACACACUAGUUGAAGUGAUGGUUCAAUAACCUCAUCAAGUCUCCACCAUCCUCCCACUCAAUUCUUUCGAGAGAAACUUUUCCUCGAGAAAGGACCCGUUUCUAGAAACAAUUACUCUUGCUUCCGGAUCUGAGAUAGGAGGUAUUCCCAACCAUUUUGGGUAUCCUAUGAAGAUGUAUUCAUCCGUUUUGGGUUCGAGCUUAUCAAGAUGAAACUUUUUCACAUAAGCGUCGCAGCCCCAAACUUUCAAGAAACGACAACUUAGGUUUCUCUAAACCAUAGUUCAUACGGUGUCGUCUCAACGGAAUUACGUGGUGCCCUAUUAAAGUGAGUGCGGUUGUCUCUAAUGCCUAACCCAUGAACGAUAGUGGUAAUUCGAUAAGAGACAUCAUGGUAUGCACCACAUCCAAUAGGGUGCAACUAUGAUGUUCGGACACACCAUCACACUAUGGUGUUCCAGGUGGUAUUAAUUGUGAAACAAUUUCCACAAUGUCUUAAUUGCGUGCCAAAGCUCGUAACUCAGAUACUCAUCUCUAUGAUCAUAUCAUAGACAUUUUAUCCUCUUGUCAUGAUGAUCUUCAACUUCACUCUGAAAUUACUUGAACCAUUCAAUAAUUCAGACAUGGGUUUCAUCAAGUAAAUAUACACAGUAUCUACUCAAAUCAUCCGUGAAGUAAGAACAUAACGAUAUCCACUGCGUGCCUCAGCACUCAUUGGACUGCACACAUCAAAAUGUAUUACUUCCAACAAGUUGCUUUCUUGUUCCAUUUUACUGAAAACGAGGCUUUCAGUCAUCUUGCCCAUGUGGUAUGAUUUGCAUGUCUCAAGUGAUUCAAAAUCAAGUGAGUCCAAACGGUCCAUUUGCAUGGAGUCUCUUCAUGCAUAUACACCAAUAGACAUGGUUCGCAUGUAUCAAACUCUUCAAAAAUGAGUGAGUCCGAAGAUCCAUCAACAUGGAGCUUCUUCAUGCGUUUUAUACCAAUAUGACUUACGUGGCAGUGCCACAAGUAGGUGGUACUAUCAUUACUAUCUUAUAUCUUUUGGCAUGAAAAUGUGUAUCACUAUGAUAGAGAUUCAAUAAACCAUUCUUUUAGGUGCAAGACCAUUGAAGGUAUUAUUCAAAUAAACAGAGUAACCAUUAUUCUUCUUAAAUGAAUAACCGUAUUGCGAUAGACAUAAUCCAAUCGUGUCUAUGCUCAAGGCAAACACCAAAUCUCGAUGGUAGAGGGAGCGUGCGAUGCUUGAUCACAUCAACCUUGGAAACACUUCCAACACAUAUCGUCAGCUCACCUUUAGCUAGUCUCCAUUUAUUCCGUAGCUUUUAUUUUCGAGUUACUAACACUUAGCAACCGAACCGGUAUCUAAUACUCUGGUGCUACUAGGAGUACUAGUAAAGUACACAUUAACAUAAUGUAUAUCCAAUAUACUUCUAUCGACCUUGCCAGCCUUCUCAUCUACCAAGUAUCUAGGGUAAUGCUGCUCCAGUGGUUGUUCCCCUUAUUACAGAAGCACUUAGUCUCGGGUUUGGGUUCAACCUUGGGUUUCUUCACUAGAGCAGCAGCUGAAUUGCCGUUUCAUGAAGUAUCCCUUUGUUCCCUUGCCCUUCUUGAAACUAGUGGUUUCACCAACCAUCAAUAAUUGAUGCUCCUUCUUGAUUUCUACUUUCGCGGUGUCAAACAUCAUGAAUAUUUCAAGGAUCAUCAUAUCUAUCCCUGAUAUGUUAUAGUUAAUCACGAAGCUCUAGCAACUUGGUGGCAAUGACUUUGGAGAAACAUCACUAUCUCAUCUGGAAGAUCAACUCCCACUCGAUUCAAGUGAUUGUUGUACUCAGACAAUCUGAGCACAAGCUCAAGGAUUGAGCUUUUCUCCCUUAGUUUGCAGGCUAGAAAACUCAUCGGAGGUCUCAUACCUCUUGACGUGGGCACAAGCCUGAAAUCCCAAUUUCAGCUCUUGGAACAUCUCAUAUGUUCUGCGACAUUUCAAAAAUGUCUUCGGUGCCUUAAUUCUGAACCAUUUAACAUUACCGAUCUAUUAUGUAGUCAUCAAAACGUGUAUGUCAGAUGUUCGCAACAUCCACAGACCAUGUUCGAGGUCCAGCACACCGAGCGGUGCAUUAAGGACAUAAGCCUUCUACUGUCCGCAUAAUUGCUACUGUCAACUUUCAACUAUAUUUUCUCUAGGAACAUAUCUAAAACAGUAGAACUAAUGCGCGAGCUAUGACAUAAUUUGCAAAGGGCUUUUGACUAUGUUCAGGAUAAUUAAGUUCAUCUAAUGAACUCCCACUCAGAUAGACAUCCCUCUAGUCAUCUAAGUGAUUACAUGAUCCGAAUCAACUAGGCCGUGUCCGAUUGAGGGAGUCCUGGACUAGGGGGUGUCCGGAUGGCUGGACUAUGACCUUUGGCCGGACUCCCGGACUAUGAAGAUAUAAGAUUGAAGACUUCGUCCCGUGUCCGGAUAGGACUUUCCUUGGCGUGGAAGGCAAGCUUGGUGAUUCGAUAUGAAGAUCUCCUCCCAUUGUAACCGACUCUGUGUAACCCUAACCCUCUCCGGUGUCUAUAUAAACCGGAGGGUUUUAGUCCGUAGGACAAAGAACAAUCAUACCAUAGGCUAGCUUCUAGGGUUUAGCCUCUCUGAUCUCGUGGUAGAUCAACUCUUGUACUACCCAUAUCAUCAAUAUUAAUCAAGCAGGAGUAGGGUUUUACCUCCAUCGAGAGGGCCCGAACCUAGGUAAAAACAUCGUGUCCCUUGUCUCUUGUUACCAUCCGCCUAGAUGCACAGUUCGGGACCCCCUACCCGAGAUCCGCCGGUUUUGACACCGACAUUGGUGCUUUCAUUGAGAGUUCCUCUGUGUCAUCACCCUUAGGCCCGAUGGCUUCUUCGAUCGUCAACCACGACGCGCUCCAGGGUGAGACUUUUCUCCCCGGACAGAUCUUCGUAUUCGGCGGCUUCGCACUGUGGGCCAAUUCGCUUGGCCAUCUGGAGCAGAUCGAAGGCUACGCCCCUGGCCAUCAGGUCAGGUUUGGAAGCUUAAACUACACGACUGACAUCCACGGGGACUUGAUCUUCGAUGGAUUCGAGCCACGGCCGAGCACGCCGCACUGUCACGAUGGGCAUGAUCUAGAUCUGCCGCCGGACAGCGCCCAGAGCGCUGCUCAGGUGUCCGCUCCGACCAUUAGCUCGGAGCCGACUGCGCCAGUCGGGGACGGACGGUUGGAUGCCGCCCCAGGAGCCGCAAUCUCUACGGUGAUAGAGCCGAAUACCAGCCUAGUCCUUUGCGAGGCCUGUGACUCCAAGGUGCCGGACUCCUUUCUGGACUCUGAAUCUUCCGCACCCCUUCCGAUUGAACCCGAUUGGGCUCCGAUCAUGGAGUUCACCGCCGCAGACGUCUUUCAGCACUCGCCCUUUGGUGAUAUCCUGAAUUCACUAAAAUCUCUCUCUUUGUCAGGAGAGCCCUGGCCGGACUAUGGUCAGCAAGGUUGGGAUGCGGACGAUGAAGAAAUUCGAAACCCACCCACCACCCACUUCGUAGCCACCGUCUAUGACCUAACUGACAUGCUCGACUUUGACUCCGAAGACAUCGACGGUAUGGAUGCCGAUGAAGGAGACGACCAAGAACCAGCACCUAUAGGGCACUGGAAAGCCACCUCGUCAUAUGACAUAUACAUGGUGGACACCCCCAAAGCAGGGGAUGGCGAUGAAAAACGGAGGACGACCCCUCCAAGAAGCAACCCAAGCGCCGACGCCAGCGGCACCGCUCUAAAUCCCGCCAAAGCAAAAACGGCGAGUCCAGCACUGGAGACAACAACACCCCAGACUGUGCCGAAGACAACCCCUCCAGCAGGAUUCAGCACAGGAGGACGGAGGAGCCAGCCCUCAUGAGAGAGCGGCAGACAGGGAGGUCGAGGACGACAAUUACAUGCCUCCCUCCGAAGACGAGGCAAGCCUCGACGACGACGAAUUUGUCGUGCCAGAGGAUCCCGUCGAACAAGAGCGUUUCAAAUGCAGGCUUAUGGCCAUGACAAGCAGCUCAAGAAAAAACAACAGCAGCUUAGAGCUGACCAAGACUUGCUAGCCGACAAAUGGACUGAAGUCCUGGCGGCCGAAGAGUAUAAACUCGAACGCCCCUCCAAGAGCUACCCAAAGCGCAGGCUGCUACCCCAAUUAGAGGAGGAAGCAACUAAACCUACAUCACCAACGUACAAUGCGCCCGAUCGGCCACCCCGUGGCCGCGACAGAGAGGCCUUUCGGCCCUCAACUCAAGCCGCACCCCGACGCCGCUCCAAAAAUACCAGAGCACGGGGAAACGCAACAGACCUGCGAGACAUAUUGGAGGAUAAGGCAAGGCAAACAAGAUCGAUCUACGGAUCGCGUGGGCGCCCCAUGUCACGUGACGAUAACCGUCACGCUGGAUAUGAUAAAUACGACCAGGCCGAACACAACAGACAAAGCUCAUCCGAGCUACGUCGCGAUAUAGCCCAGUACAGGGGCGCCACACACCCACUAUGCUUCACAGACGAAGUAAUGGAUCAUCAAAUCCCCGAGGGUUUUAAACCCGUAAACAUCAAAUCAUACAAUGGCACAACAGAUCCCAUGGUAUGGAUCGAGGAUUAUCUCCUUCAUAUCCACAUGGCCCGUGGUGAUGAUCUACACGCCAUCAAAUACCUCCCGCUCAAGCUUAAAGGACCAGCUCGGCAUUGGCUUAACAGCCUGCCAGCAGAGUCAAUUAGUUGCUGGGAGGACCUGGAAUCCGCGUUCCUUGACAACUUCCAGGGCACUUAUGUGCGACCACCAGACGCCGAUGACCUAAGCCACAUAAUCCAGCAGCCAGAGGAAUCGGCCAGACAAUUAUGGACAUGGUUCCUAACCAAGAAAAAUCAAAUAGUCGACUGUCCGGACGCCGAGGCCCUUGCAGCCUUCAGGCACAACAUCCGAGACGAAUGGCUUGCCCGACACCUAGAACAGGAAAAGCUGAAAUCUAUGGCAGCCCUCACGACACUCAUGACCCGCUUUUGCGCGGGAGAAGACAGCUGGCUAGCUCAUAGUAAUAACAUAACCAAGAGCACUGGCAAUUCGGAUACCAAGGACAACAAUGGCAGGUCACGUCGCAACAAGCACAAGCACCGCAUUAACAGCGACAAUACUGAGGAUACGGCAGUUAAUGCCGGAUUCAGAGGCUCUAAACCCGGUCAGCGGAAGAAGCCAUUCAAAAGAAACCCUCCGGGCCCAUCCAGUUUAGACCGGAUACUCGAUCGCUCGUGCCAGAUACACGGCACCCCCGAACAACCAUCCAACCACACCAACAUGGAUUGUUGGGUGUUCAAGCAGGCAGGCAAGUUAAGGGGCUGCAUAGCGACGACGAGGAGGAGCCCCGGCCGCCGAACAACAGAGGACAGAAGGGCUUCCCCCCGCAAGUGCGGACGGUGAACAUGAUAUACGCAACCCAUAUCCCCAAAAGGGAGCGGAAGCGUGCUCUCAAGGACGUCUAUGCAUUGGAGCCAGUGGCCCCAAAGUUCAACCCAUGGCCCUCCUGCCCGAUCACUUUUGAUCGAAGGGACCACCCUACUAGCAUCCGUCACGGCGGAUUCGCCGCAUUGGUGCUAGACCCAAUCAUUGACGGAUUUCACCUCACUAGAGUCCUCAUGGACGGCGGCAACAACCUGAACCUGCUUUAUCAGGAUACAGUGCGAAAAAUGGGUAUAGACCCCUCAAGGAUUAAACCCACAAAGACAACCUUUAAAGGCAUCAUACCAGGUGUAGAAGCCAGCUGUACAGGCUCGGUUACACUCGAAGUGGUCUUCGGAUCCCCGGAUAAUUUCCGAAGCGAAGAGUUAAUCUUCGACAUAGUCCCAUUCUGCAGUGGCUAUCACGCCCUGCUCGGACGAGCCGCAUUCGCAAAAUUCAAUGCGGUGCCGCACUACGCAUAUCUCAAGCUCAAGAUGCCAGGCCCUCGCGGAGUCAUUACGGUAAAUGGAAACACCGAACGCUCUCUCCGAACGGAGGAGCACACGGCGGCCCUGGUGGCGGAAGUACAAAGUAGCCUCUCAAGGCAACUCUCCAAUUCGGGUGUUAAACGUCCGGACAACGUCAAGCGGGCCCGAAGUAACCUCCAACAAAACUGGCUGGCACGUUCCGAGCAAGCAUAGCAGUGCGGCCCCAACCCUAGCCCUCGCCAGAUGGCGAUAGCGGUACCAUGCGUACAUAAUUAUGCCUUGGAAAUACCAUGGGCAUAAGGGGAGGGGCACAACCACGGCACGCCCAAAAUGCGGCUGAACCGCACUAGGGGCUCCCUAUUCUGCCGUUUCCUUUUUUUAUAUACUUUCAGGACCCAACUAUCCGGAAGGCCUGUCCGGCAAUACACUCGCCGAACGCACGAUGCAACAGCCAGGGAGAGAACAAGCCACGUCAAAUGUCCAGGUGGUCUCUAUAACGAGCUAAAUACCUGUUUUACUUAAAGUCUCGCAGCUUGCCCCUGGAGGGGGACAUGUCAAAUAAUCCCAUCUCUUGCUUAUCGCACUAUUUGUAUCGUUCUGCUUUCAUAGCAGCCCUUUUUAAUAAACAAUACAUAGCUCUUAUCUAUUAUUGUAUUCAUCUAUUUUUAUACAAAUAUGUUUAGUCAUGACAUUAUGCAACCAUACACUUUGGUAAGGCCAAUACACCAGGGGCUUAAGCACCCCAUAACACGGUGUGAGAAGACCGAACACUCUCAUGAGUGCAGCACCCCGAACUUAUAGCACUAUAUGCAUCAGCUCCGAAUCAUGUCUUGGGUCAAUAGUUGGGUUUGCCCGGCUCCCAUGUUUUGGUACCUUACGUUCCGCAAUGUUGGCUAAGGUAGCGCUGGGAGAACUACUACAAUUGUGCCCCAGUUGAGCUGGGUUAACACCUCAGUAGAGAAAGCUAAAACUGACCGUCAUGAUAGUGUGAGAGACCGGUUGUUGUUCGCGAGGUUUUUCGAGUCCCUAAAGACUUACGCCGCUUAGAGCGAGGAGCCGGAUUUAUCUGGCCUAGGCGUGGAUAGCGCCCGGGCUUCGCCGAAAUUUAAAAUUAUAGAAUUCUAUGGCUAAGUGAGAGUGAUAAAGCAUUAUAAGUCCGAUGGCCUUGUUCGUUGUGCUGAGCGCCUCCCUAGAUGGACCCAAGAAUGGGAACAAGAGCGCCCAGGUUUAUCUCGAACACCCCAGCACUCAUGGCAUGGGGGUAGAAGCCGACGACUUGCAUCUCUCAGAUUUCAUAAACGGCCGCACAGAAGGUAAUAUUUUAAAUUCAAAAAGCGUUGCUUAGCGCAUAUGAACAAGUUUUCAGCGCACAUGAUAAACACGAGCGAGUUUACUCAAAAAUUACAUCCAUGGUACAUUCCUCCGCCACAAGACGGGCACCCUUCAGGACGCCCUCAUAAUACAUCUCGGGCCUGCGAUGCUUCUUCCCCUCCGGUGGCCCAUCCUUCACCAGCUUCUUAGCAUCUAGCUUGCCCCAGUGCACUUUAGCACGGGCAAAAGCCCUACAGGCGCCCUCGAUACACAUGGAACGCUUGAUGACUUCAAGUCGUGGACAGGCAUCCACCAGCCGCCGCACCAGCCCAACGUAGCUCAAAGGCAAGACCUCACCAGGCCACAGCCGGCCUAUCAGGCCCUUCAUGGCCUGGUCGGCUGCCUUAUGAAGCUCGACCAGCUGCUUCAGCUGGUCGCUCAAGGGCACCGGGUGUCCGACCUCAGCAUACUGGGACCAGAACACUUUCUCUGUCGAGCUCCCUUCCUCGGCCCGGUAGAAUGCGGCAGCAUCGGAUACACUGCGGGGCAGAUCUGCGAAUGCUCCUGGAGAGCUCCGGACGUGGGUAAGUAACAGGUAAUUUACUUUCACAUGCUUGCUUUGCAUAAAGAAUUCCUUACCCGCCGCAAUCCUUUUCAUCGCCUCAAUCUCCUGGAGGGCUCUUUGGGCAUCGGCCUUGGCAGACUUGGCACUUUCAAGUGCCGAGGCAAGCUCGGACUCUCGAGUCCUUGAGUCACGCUCUAAACUCUCAUGUUUCUUCACGAGAGCAUCGAGCUCUUGCCGCACCUCCGCAUCUUGCACCUCUUGCCUCUCUCGCUUCGAGCGCUCCAUGGCCGCAUUAUCUUCGGCCUUGGAAAGCGAUUCCUUCAGGGUUGCCACCUGAGUUGUGGCCCCUGCAACAUUCACGUUGGUCCUGUCAUUAUUUGCAACCAGGUAUUUCUAUAUACAUUUACAUACGGUAUUACAUACCCUCCUUGUCCUCGAGCUGCUUCUUGGCACGGCCGAACUCAUUCUCGGACCGCUCGAGGUUCUGCUUCAAUGUGUCGACCUCCGCAGUCAGUGCGGCAGAGGUCAGCAGCGCAGCCUGCAUUCCCAUAUUGACAUAUUUAUGUUAGACUCCUGCGUAUUUUUUUUAGAUCCUCAGUCCGGCUUUUCUUUCCGAACACCACACUGAGCAUCAGGGGCUACUGUCUAUGCGGUAACAUUUUUAUAUGUUUUGAAUACAUACCUCAAAGCCUGUUAACAUGCUCGUACAGGCUUCUGUCAGCCCGCUCUUGGCGGACUGAACCUUCUGAAUCACCGCACUCAUCACAGUGCGGUGUUCCUCGUCGAUGGAGGUGCCGUUAAGCACCUCCAGCAAAUUGUCCGGCGCCUCUGGUUGGACGGAGGUCGCCGGCGUCGUAGGCUUGCCCUUCUUGCGAAGGCGCCGCCUGCCGGACCCCGGAACCACUAAAGGUUCCGAAGCAGUGUCCGGCCCAGGGCCGGACUUAGACACCUGUGGGGCUUUACCCCCUUUGGGCCUGGAAUCCGGGAGGUUGCCUUGCGGCGCCUCCUGGACCACCUCCUCCUGGUUUAGUCCCUUUUGAGACUCCACCUCGGCGUCGUCCAUAGGGAGAGGGGAGGAGGCCGUCGGAAGUGAAGCGCUAUUCACGUCCGACGAAUCCAGGGAGCCGCUCGACGAAUCGCCAAGAUGAGCCUUGGGCGGACUGUAUGAUUGAAUUCGGCGUCAGAAGGUACCAUACAUUAGAGGAGCGCCAUGAGUUAUUCUGGUAUCCGGAUACUUAUGAUUUUGCCAGGGGCUUGACCCUGGAUGGCCAUUCCUCCCCGCUGUCUUCGGCAUCGGAGGCCUAGUCCGGCAGAAGGGUCCUCCCCUUCUUGGACCCUCCGGCCUCCCUAGUUGGGGCGGCCUUCCUUUUCUUUCCUCCCCCCGCUGGAGGGGGAGAGGCUUCUUGUUCUUCCUCCUCCUCGUCCUCAGAGGCGGAGGGUGCUCCGGGGUUGUCAGGCGAUGAAUCCGACACCACCAGGCGCCGGGAAGUCUUUCGAGUCCCCGUGGCCUUCUUCUUGGCCUUCUUCUCCGGCACCACGUGAGGUGCCGGAACCAGCAGCCCCGUCAAUCGGGCAUCCGCUGGGUCAUCUAGUAAGAGAGCCGGACAGUUAACCUGCCCGGACUUCCUCAGCCAGUCCUGUCAAAGGUAAGGGAGUUUAGAUCCCACAUAGAGUCAGACUAUGAAAAACAAGAGUCCUGUAAAGGGUAGAAUAGCUUACCUCGCUGGCCUGACGCCGCGAGUUGAAUCCGCGAUCUUCGGUAGCGGAUGCGGGGGCCUCAGCGCCCUUAAACAGCACCUUCUAGGCAUCUUCGUACAUAGCAUCGAAGAGCUUGCUCAAGGUUUGGUGCUGUGCCGGAUCAAACUCUCACAAUUCGAAGGCCCGUUGUUGGCAUGGGAGGAUCCGGCGGAUGAGCAUGACCUGGACUACGUUGACAAGCUUGAGAUUCUUGUUCACCAGCUGUUGGACGCAGGCUUGAAGUCCGGUCAGCUCUUCCGAAUCUCCCCACGUUAGGCCCGUCUCUUUCCAGGAGGUGAGCCGUGUGGGGAAACCAGAUCGGAAUUCGGGGGCCGCCGCCCAUUUGGGGUCGCGCGGCUCAGUGAUGUAGAACCACCCCGAUUGCCACCCCUUUAUUGUCUCCACAAAGGAGCCCUCGAGCCAUAGGACGUUGGCCAUCCGGCCCGCCAUGGCACCUCCGCACUCCGCUUGGCGGCCGCCCACUACCUUCGGCUUGACAUUAAAAGUCUUUAGCCAUAAGCCGAAGUGGGGCUGGAUGCAGAGGAAGGCCUCGCACACGACGAUGAACGCCGAGAUGUUGAGGAUGAAGUUCGGGGCCAGAUCGUGGAAAUCUAGGCCAUAGUAGAACAUGAUCCCCCGAACAAAUGGGUGAAGUGGGAAACCUAGUCCGCGGAGGAAGUGGGUGAGGAACACCACCCUCUCAUGGGGCCUGGGGGUGGGGAGAAGUUGCCCCUUGUCGGGGAACCAAUGCGCAAUGUCGCUGGACAAGUAUCCGGCCUUUCGCAGCUUUUUGACUUGUUCCUCCGUUACGGAGGAGACCAUCCACUUGCCUCCCGCUCCGGACAUGGCUGGAGAAGGUUGAGAAGGGAUGUGCGGACUUGGGCGCUGGAGUUCGAGUACGCGGAAAUGGAUAAGCAAAGGAGGGAGGAAGAAGGCGUCGGUAAAAAGGCGGAUCCUUAUCCCCUUAUAGGGACGGACGAAACUAUGAGCCCCCACCAGCCUAGUAAAACUCGCUUAUCUCCCAAGCGCCGCGAUUAAUGGCGCGGUUGGGUUACCCACGCUCGUAUUGAUGAGAACCCCGGAAUAAGGGGACACAAUCUCUGCUUUGACAAGACGUGCCAAGGAAACUGCCUUGCUAAACACGCUGAGGUGGAACAGUAAAACGAUUCGAAUAAAGGCUUGGCCGUGGCAUGAUGUCACACUGCGGAAUGUGUCAGUAGAUUAGAUUUGUGCAUAUAUUGAUCUCUCUACGGUGGUAUGUAGAACUUAUUUUGCAGAGCCGGACACUAUCUGUUGGAAAUAUGCCCUAGAGGCAAUAAUAAAAGUAUUAUUAUUAUAUUUCCUUGUUCAUGAUAAUUGUCUUUUAUUCAUGCUAUAACUGUAUUAUCUGGAAAUCGUAUACACGUGUGAAUACAUAGACCACAAUAUGUCCCUAGUGAGCCUCUAGUUGACUAGCUCGCUGUGAUCAACAGAUAGUCAUGGUUUCCUGGCUAUGGACAUUGGAUGUCGUUGAUAACGGGAUCACAUCAUUAGGAGAAUGAUGUGAUGGACAAGACCCAAUCCUAAGACUAGCACAAAAGAUCGUGUAGUUCAUUUGCUAGAGCUUUGCCAAUGUCAAGUAUCUCUUCCUUCGACCAUGAGAGCGUGUAACUCCUGGAUACCGUAGGAGUGCUUUGGGUGUAUCAAACGUCACAACGUAACUGGGUGACUAUAAAGGUGCACUACAUGUAUCUCCGAAAGUAUCUAUUGUUUUAUGCGGAUCGAGACUGGGAUUUGUCACUCUGUGUAAACGGAGAGGUAUCUCUGGGCCCACUCGGUAGGACAUCAUCAUAUGUGCAAUGUGACCAAGGAGUUGAUCACGGGAUGAUGUGUUACGGAACGAGUAAAGUGACUUGCCGGUAACGAGAUUGAACAAGGUAUUGGAUACCGACGAUCGAAUCUCGGGCAAGUAACAUACCGAUAGACAAAGGGAAUUGAAUACGGGAUUGAUUAAGUCCUUGACAUCGUGGUUCAUCCGAUGAGAUCAUCGUGGAACAUGUGGGAGCCAUCAUGAAUAUCCAGAUCCCGCUGUUGGUUAUUGACCGGAGAACGUCUCGGUCAUGUCUGCAUGUCUCCCGAACCCGUAGGGUCUACACACUUAAGGUUCGAUGACGCUAGGGUUAUAAAGGAAGUUUGUAUGUGGUUACCGAAUGUUGUUCGGAGUCCCGGAUGAGAUCCCGGACAUCACGAGGAGUUCCGAAAUGGUCCGGAGGUAAAGAUUUAUAUAUGGGAAGUCCUAUUUUGGCCACCGGAAAAUGUACGGGAUUUUUCGGUAUUGUACCGGGAAGGUUCUAGAAGGUUCCGGAGUGGGGCCCACCUGCAUGGGGGGACCCACAUGAACGUGGGUAGUGGGGGCAAGGCCCCAUACCCCUGGUCAAGGCGCACCAAGAUCCCCCCUUAGAAGGAAUAAGAUCAUAUCCCUUCGGGAUAAGAUCAAGAUCCCUAAAAAGGGGGGAUAACAAUCGGUGGGGAAGGAAAUAAUGAGAUUUCUUUCCUCCCACCUUGGCCAACGCCCCAAUGGACUUGGAGGGCAAGAAACCAGCCCCUCCACCCCUAUAUAUAGUGGGGAGGCGCAUGGGAGCUAUACACGAAGUUCUGGCGCAGCCCUCCCCCUCUCACAAGUACUCCUCCUCUCCCGUGGUGCUUGGCGAAGCCCUGCAGGAUUGCCACGCUCCUCCACCACCACCACGCCGUUGUGCUGCUGCUGGAUGGAGUCUUCCUCAACCUCUCCCUCUCUCCUUGCUGGAUCAAGGCUUGGGAGACGUCACCGGGCUGUAUGUGUGUUGAACGCGGAGGUGCCGUGCGUUCGACACUUGAUCAUCGGUGAUUUGAAUCACGACGAGUACGACUCCAUCAACCCCGUUCACUUGAACGCUUCCGCUUAGCAAUCUACAAGGGUAUGUAGAUGCACUCUCUUUCUACUCGUUGCUGGUCUCUCCAUAGAUAGAUCUUGGUGACACGUAGGAAAAUUUUGAAUUUCUGCUACGUUCCCCAACAGUGGCAUCAUGAGCUAGGUCUAUUGCGUAGAUUCUUUGCACGAGUAGAACACAAAGUAGUUGUGGGCGUUGAUGUUGUUCAAUAUGCUUACCGUUACUAGUCCAAUCUUGUUUCGACGGUAUUGUGGGAUGAAGCGGCCCGGACCGACCUUACACGUACUCUUACGUGAGACAGGUUCCACCGAUUGACAUGCACUUGGUGCAUAAGGUGGCUAGCGGGUGCCAGUCUCUCCCACUUUAGUCGGAACGGAUUCGAUGAAAAGGGUCCUUAUGAAGGGUAAAUAGCAAUUGGCAUAUCACGUUGUGGUCUUGCGUAGGUAAGAAACGUUCUUGCUAGAAACCCAUAGCAGCACGUAAAACAUGCAACAACAAUUAGAGGACGUCUAACUUGUUUUUGAAGGGUAUGCUAUGUGAUGUGAUAUGGCCAAGAAGAAUGUGAUGAAUGAUAUGUGAUGUAUGAGAUUGAUCAUGUUCUUGUAAUAGGAUUCACGACUUGCAUGUCGAUGAGUAUGACAACCGGCAGGAGCCAUAGGAGUUGUCUUUAUUUAUUGUAUGACCUGCGUGUCAUUGAAGAACGCCAUGUAAACUACUUUACUUUAUUGCUAAACGCGUUAGUCAUAGAAGUAGAAGUAGUCGUUGGCGUGACAACUUCAUGAAGACACGAUGAUGGAGAUCAUGAUGAUGGAGAUCAUGGUGUCGUGCCGGUGACGAUGAUGAUCAUGGAGCCCCGAAGAUGAAGAUCAAAAGGAGCAAAAUGAUAUUGGCCAUAUCAUGUCACUAUUUGAUUGCAUGUGAUGUUUAUCAUGUUUAUGCAUCUUGUUUGCUUAGGACGACGGUAGUAAAUAAGAUGAUCCCUUACAAAAUUUCAAGAAGUGUUCUCCCCUAACUGUGCACCGUUGCUACAGUUCGUCGCUUCUAAGCACCACGUGAUGAUCGGGUGUGAUGUAUUCUUACGUUCACAUACAAUGGGUGUAAGACAGUUUUACACAGCGAAAACACUUAGGGUUAACUUGACGAGCCUAGCAUGUGCAGACAUGGCCUCGGAACACGGAGACCGAAAGGUCGAGCAUGAGUCGUAUGGUAGAUACGAUCAACAUGAAGAUGUUCACCGAUGAUGACUAGUCCGUCUCAUGUGAUGAUCGGACACGGCCUAGUUGACUCGGAUCAUGUGAUCACUUAGAUGACCAGAGGGAUGUCUAUCUAAGUGGGAGUUCAUAAGAUGAACUUAAUUAUCCUGAACAUAGUCAAAAGACCUUUUGCAAAUUAUGUCGUAAGCUCGCGCUUUAGUUCCACUGUUUAGAUAUGUUCCUAGAGAAAAUAUAGUUGAAAGUUGAUAGUAGCGAUUAUGCGAUCAGUAGAAAGCUUAUGUCCUUAAUGCACCGCUCAGUGUGCUGAACCCCAACGUUGUUUGUCGAUGUUGCGAACAUCGGACAUACACGUUUUGAUAACUACGUGAUAGUUCAAUUAAAUGGUUUAAGUAGAGGCACCAAAGACGUUUUCGAAACGUCGCGGAACAUAUGAGAUGUUUCGAGGGCUGAAAUUGGGAUUUCAGGCUCGUGCCCACGUCAAGAGGUAUAAGACCUCCGACGAUUUUCUUAGCCUGCAAACUAAGGGAGAAAAGCUCAAUCGUUGAUCUUGUGCUCAGAUUGUCUGAGCACAACAAUCACUUGAAUCGAGUGGGAGUAGAUCCUCCAGAUGAGAUAGUGAUGUUUCCCCAAAGUCAUUGCCACCAAGCUGCUAGAGCUUCGUGAUUAACUAUAACAUAUCAGGGAUAGAUAUGAUGAUCCUUGAAAUAUUCAUGAUGUUUGACACCGCGAAAGUAGAAAUCAAGAAGGAGCAUCAAUUGUUGAUGGUUGGUGAAACCACUAGUUUCAAGAAGGGCAAGGGAACAAAGGGAUACUUCAUGAAACGGCAAUUCAGCUGCUGCUCUAGUGAAGAAACCCAAGGUUGAACCCAAACCCGAGACUAAGUGCUUCUGUAAUAAGGGGAACAACCACUGGAGCAGCAUUACCCUAGAUACUUGGUAGAUGAGAAGGCUGGCAAGGUCGAUAGAAGUAUAUUGGAUAUACAUUAUGUUAAUGUGUACUUUACUAGUACUCCUAGUAGCACCAGGGUAUUGGAUACCGGUUCGGUUGCUAAGUGUUAGUAACUCAAAAUAAAAGCUACGGAAUAAACGGAGACUAGCUAAAGGUGAGAUGACGAUAUAUGUUGGAAGUGUUUCCAAGGUUGAUAUGAUCAAGCAUCGCACGCUCCCUCUACCACCGAGAUUGGUGUUUGCGUUGAGCAUAGACAUGAUUGGAUUAUGUCUAUCGCAAUACGGUUAUUCAUUUAAGGAGAAUAAUGGUUACUCUAUUUUUGAAUAAUACCUUCAAUGCUCUUGCACCUAAAGGAAUGGUUUAUUGAAUCUCGGUCGUAGUGAUACACAUUUUCAUGCCAAAAGAUAUAAGAUAGUAAUGAUAGUACCACUUACUUGUGGCACUGCCAUGUAAGUCAUAAUGGUAUAAAACGCAUGAAGAAGCUCCAUGUUGAUGGAUCUUUGGACUCACUCAUUUUUGAAAAGUUUGAGACAUGUGAACCAUGUCUAUUGGUGUAUAUGCAUGAAGAAACUCCAUGCAAAUGGACCGUUUGGACUCACUUGAUUUUGAAUCACUUGAGAUAUGCAAAUCAUACCACAUGGGCAAGAUGACUGAAAAGCCUCGUUUUCAGUAAGAUGGAACAAGAUAGCAACUUGUUGGAAGUAACACAUUUUGAUGUGUCCAAUCCAAUGAGUGCUGAGGCAUGCAGUGAAUAUCGUUAUGAUCUUACUUCACAGAUGAUUCGAGUAGAUGUUGAGAAUAUUUACUUGAUGAAACACAAGUCUGAAUUAUUGAAUGGUUCAAGUAAUUUCAGAGUGAAGUAGAAGAUCAUUGUGACAAGAGGAUAAAAUGUCUAUGAUAUGAUCAUAGAGAUGAAUAUCUGAGUUACGAGUUUUGGCACACAAUUAAGACAUUGUGGAAAUUGUUUUGCAAUUAAUACCGCCUGGAACACCAUAGUGUGAUGGUGUGUCCGAACAUCAUAGUUGCACCCUAUUGGAUAUGGUGCGUACCAUGAUGUCUCUUAUCGAAUUACCACUAUUGUCCAUGGGUUAGGCAUUAGAGACAACCACAUUCACUUUAAAUAGGGCACCACGUAAUUCCGUUGAGAUGACACCGUAUGAAUUAUGGUUUAGAGAAACCUAAGUUGUCGUUUCUUAAAAGUUUGGGGCUGCGACGCUUAGAUGAAAAAGUUUUAGGUUGAUAAGCUCGAACCCAAAGCGGAUAAAAUGCAUCUUCAUAGGAAACCCAAAACAGUUGGGUAUACCUCCUAAUUCAGAUCCGAAAGCAAUAUGGAUUGUUUCUUGAAUCGGGUCCUUUCUCGAGGAAAAGUUUCUCUCGAAAGAAUUGAGUGGGAGGAUGGUGGAAACUUGAUGAGGUUAUUGAACCGUCUCUUCAACUAGUGUGUGGCAGGGCACAGGAAGUUGUUCCUGUGGCACCUACACCAAUUGAAGUGGAAGCUUGUGAUGUUGAUCAUGAAACUUCGGAUCAAGUCACUACCAAACCUCGUGGGAUGACAAGGAUACGUACUACAUCAGAGUGGUACGUAAUCCUAUCUUGGAAGUCAUGUUGCUGGACAACAAUGAACCUACGAGCUAUGGAGAAGCAAUGGUGGGCCCGGAUUCCGAUAAAUGGCUCGAGGCCAUAAAAUCCGAGAACGGAUCCAUGCCUUUGGAAGAAAUACUUGAUGGUCGUAAGGCCAUUGGGUACGGAUGGAUUUUAAAAGGAAGACAGACAAUGAUGGUAAGAAUUACCAUUAAGAAAGCUCGACUUGUCGUUAAGAUAUUUUCCGACAAGUUCAAGGAGUUGAUUACGGUGAGGUUUUCUCACUCGUAGCGAUCCUAAGAGUCUGUUGGAAUUGGAUUAGCAGUUACUGCAUGAUUGAUGAAAUCUUGCAGAUAGGAUGUCAAAACAUUGUUUCCUCGAUGUUAUACUUGAGGAAAGGUUGUAUGUGAUACAACCGGAAGGUUUUGUCAAUCCCAAAAGAUGCUAAUAAGUAUGCAAAGCUCCAGCAAUCCUUCUAAGGACUGGAGUGAGCAUCUCGGAGUUGGAAUGUGUGCUUUGAUGAUGAUCAAAGAUUUUGGGUUUGUACAAAGUUUACGAGAAACUUGUAUUUCCAAAGAAGUGAGUGGGAGCACUAUAGAAUUUCUGAUGAGUAUAUGUUGUUGACAUAUUGUUGAUCAGAAAUGACGUAGAAUUUCUGGAAAGCAUAUAGGGUUAUUUUGAAAGUGUUUUUCAAUGGAAAACCUGGAUUAAGCUACUUGAACAUUGAGCAUCAAGAUCUAUAAGGAUAGAUCAAAAUGCUUAAUAAUACUUUCAAAUGAGCACAUACCUUGACAUGAUCUUGAAGGUGUUCAAGAUGGACCAGUCAAAGAAGGAGUUCUUGCCUGAGUUGUAAGGUACGAAGUUAGGACUUAAAGCUCGACCACGGCAGAAAAGAGAGAAAGGACGAAGGUCGUCCCCUAUACUUUAGACGUAGGCUCUACAGUAUGCCAUGCUGAGUACCGCACCUGAAGUGUGCCUUGCCAUGAGUCAGUCAAGGGGUACAAGAGUGAUCCAAGAAUGGAUCACAGGACAGCGGUCAAAGUUAUCCUUAGAAAUUAGUGGACUAAGGAAUUUUUCUCGAUUAUGGAGGUGGUAAAAGAGUUCGUCGUAAAGGGUUACGUCGAUGCAAGCUUGACACCUAUCCGGAUAGCUCUGAGUAGAGAUACCGGAUACAUAUAAUGGAGCAACAAUAUAGAAUAGCUCCAAGUAGAACAAUUAUUUGGAUUAGCUCCAAAUAGAGCGUGGUAGCUACAUCUAGGAGAUGACAUAGAGAUUUGUAAAACACACACGGAUCUGAAAGGUUCGGACCCGUUGACUAAAACCUCUCUCACAAGCAACAUGAUCAAACCUAAAACUCAUUGAGUAUUAAUCACAUAGUGAUGUGAACUAGACUACUGAUUCUAGUAAACUCUUGGGUGUUAGUCACAUGGCGAUGUGACCUGUGAGUGUUAAUCACAUGGCGAUGUGAACUAGAUUAUUGACUCUAGUGCAAGUGGGAGACUGUUGGAAAUAUGCCCUAGAGGCAAUAAUAAAAGUAUUAUUAUUAUAUUUCCUUGUUCAUGAUAAUUGUCUUUUAUUCAUGCUAUAACUGUAUUAUCCGAAAAUCGUAAUACACGUGUGAAUACAUAGACCACAAUAUGUCCCUAGUGAGCCUCUAGUUGACUAGCUCGUUGUGAUCAACAGAUAGUCAUGGUUUCCUGGCUAUGGACAUUGGAUGUCGUUGAUAACGGGAUCACAUCAUUAGGAGAAUGAUGUGAUGGACAAGACCCAAUCCUAAGACUAGCACAAAAGAUCGUGUAGUUCAUUUGCUAGAGCUUUGCCAAUGUCAAGUAUCUCUUCCUUCGACCAUGAGAGCGUAUAACUCCUGGAUACCGUAGGAGUGCUUUGGGUGUAUCAAACGUCACAACGUAACUGGGUGACUAUAAAGGUGCACUACAGGUAUCUCCGAAAGUAUCUAUUGUUUUAUGCGGAUCGAGACUGGGAUUUGUCACUCCGUGUAAACGGAGAGGUAUCUCUGGGCCCACUCGGUAGGACAUCAUCAUAUGUGCAAUGUGACCAAGGAGUUGAUCACGGGAUGAUGUGUUACGGAACAAGUAAAGUGACUUGCCAGUAACGAGAUUGAACAAGGUAUUGGAUACCGACGAUCGAAUCUCGGGCAAGUAACAUACCGAUAGACAAAGGGAAUUGAAUACGGGAUUGAUUAAGUCCUUGACAUCGUGGUUCAUCCGAUGAGAUCAUCGUGGAACAUGUGGGAGCCAUCAUGGGUAUCCAGAUCCCGCUGUUGGUUAUUGACCGGAGAACGUCUCGGUCAUGUCUGCAUGUCUCCCGAACCCAUAGGGUCUACACACUUAAGGUUCGAUGACGCUAGGGUUAUAAAGGAAGUUUGUAUGUGGUUACCGAAUGUUGUUCGGAGUCCCGGAUGAGAUCCCGGACGUCACGAGGAGUUCCGAAAUGGUCCGGAGGUAAAGAUUUAUAUAUGGGAAGUCCUAUUUUGGCCACCGGAAAAUGUUCGGGAUUUUUCGGUAUUGUACCGGGAAGGUUCUAGAAGGUUCCGGAGUGGGGCCCACCUGCAUGGGGGGACCCACAGGAACGUGGGUAGUGGGGGCAAGGCCCCACACCCCUGGUCAAGGCGCACCAAGAUCCCCCCUUAGAAGGAAUAAGAUCAUAUCCCGAAGGGAUAAGAUCAAGAUCCCUAAAAAGGGGGGAUAACAAUCGGUGGGGAAGGAAAUAAUGAGAUUUCUUUCCUCCCACCUUGGCCAACGCCCCAAUGGACUUGGAGGGCAAGAAACCAGCCCCUCCACCCCUAUAUAUAGUGGGGAGGCGCAUGGGAGCUAUACACGAAGUUCUGGCGCAGCCCUCCCCCUCUCACAAGUACUCCUCCUCUCCCGCGGUGCUUGGCGAAGCCCUGCAGGAUUGCCACGCUCCUCCACCACCACCACACCGUUGUGCUGCUGCUGGAUGGAGUCUUCCUCAACCUCUCCCUCUCUCCUUGCUGGAUCAAGGCUUGGGAGACGUCACCGGGCUCUAUGUGUGUUGAACGCGGAGGUGCCGUGCGUUCGGCACUUGAUCAUCGGUGAUUUGAAUCACGACGAGUACGACUCCAUCAACCCCGUUCACUUGAACGCUUCCGCUUAGCAAUCUACAAGGGUAUGUAGAUGCACUCUCUUUCUACUCGUUGCUGGUCUCUCCAUAGAUAGAUCUUGGUGACACGUAGGAAAAUUUUGAAUUUCUGCUACGUUCCCCAACACUAUCCUUGGGUUCAACAUCUUCUAUGAAGUAUUCGGAGGAGGAACCCGCCUUGCAAUGCCGAAGACAAUUUGCGCGCCGGACUCGUCGUCAUUGAAGCCUGGUUCAGGGGCUACUGAGGGAGUCCUGGAUUAGGGGGUGUCCGGAUGGCCGGACUAUGACCUUUGGCCGGACUCUCGGACUAUGAAGGUACAAGAUUGAAGACUUCAUCCCGUGUCCGGAUAGGACUUUCCUUGGCGAUUCGAUAUGAAGAUCUCCUCCCGUUGUAACCGACUCUGUGUAACCCUAACCCUCUCUGGUGUCUAUAUAAACCGGAGGGUUUUAGUCUGUAGGACAAAGAACAAUCAUACCAUAGGCUAGCUUCUAGGGUUUAGCCUCUCUGAUCUCGUGGUAGAUCAAUUCUUGUACUACCCAUAUCAUCAAUAUUAAUCAAGCAGGAGUAGGGUUUUACCUCCAUCGAGAGGGCCCGAACCUGGGUAAAAACAUCGUGUCCCUUGUCUCCUGUUACCAUCCGCCUAGACGCACAGUUCGAGACCCCCUACCCGAGAUCCGCCGGUUUUGACACCGACACGGAUCAUCACGUGAGACGGACUAGUCAUCAUCGGUGAACAUCUUCAUGUUGAUCGUAUCUACUAUACAACUCAUGCUCGACCUUUCGGUCUCUUGUGUUCCGAGGCCAUGUCUGUACAUGCUAGGCUCGUCAAGUUAACCUAAGUGUUUCACGUGUGUAAAUCUGUCUUACACCCAUUGUAUGUGAACGUUAGAAUCUAUCACACCCGAUCAUCACGUGGUGCUUCGAAACGACGAACUUUCGCAACGGUGCACAGUUAGGGGGAACACUUUCUUGAAAUUUUAGUGAGGGAUCAUCUUAUUUACUGCCGUCGUUCUGAGCAAAUAAGAUGCAUAAACAUGAUAAACAUCACAUGCAAUCAAAUAGUGACAUGAUAUGGCCAAUAUCAUUUUGCUCCUUUUGAUCUCCAUCUUCGGGGCUCCAUGAUCAUCAUCGUCACCGGCAUGACACCAUGAUCUCCAUCAUCAUGUUCUCCAUCAUCGUGUCUCCAUGAAGUUGUCUCGCCAACUAUUACUUCUACUACUAUGGCUACCGGUUAGCAAUAAAGUAAAGUAAUUACAUGGCGUUGUUCAAUGACACACAGGUCAUCCAAUAAAUUAAAGACAACUCCUAUGGCUCCUGCCGGUUGUCAUACUCAUCGACAUGCAAGUCGUGAUUCCUAUUACAAGAACAUGAUCAAUCUCAUACAUCACAUAUCAUUCAUCACAUUCCUUUUUGGCCAUAUCACAUCACAUAGCAUACCCUGCAAAAACAAGUUAGACGUCCUCUAAUUAUUGUUUGCAUGUUUUACGUGGCUGCUAUGGGUUUCUAGCAAAAACCUUUCUUACCUAUGCAAAAGCCACAACGUGAUAUGCCAAUUGCUAUUUACCCUUCAUAAGGACCCUUUUCAUCGAAUCCGAUCCGACUAAAGUGGGAGAGACUGGCACCCGCUAGCCACCUUAUGCAACAAGUGCAUGUCAAUCGGUGGAACCUGUCUCACGUAAGUGUACGUAUAAGGUCGGUCCGGGCCGCUUCAUCCCACAAUACCGUCGAAACAAGAUUGGACUAGUAACGGAUUGAACAAAAUCAACGCCCACAACUACUUUGUGUUCUACUCGUGCAUAGAAUCUACGCAAUAGACCUAGCUCAUGAUGCCACUGUUGGGGAACGUAGCAGAAAUUCAAAAUUUUCCUACGAAUCACCAAGAUCUAUCUAUGGAGAGACUAGCAACGAGAGAGAAGGGAGUGCAUCUACAUACCCUUGUAGAUCACUAAGCAGAAGCGUUCAAGGGAACAGGGUUGAAGGAGUCAUACUCGUCGUGAUCCAAAUCACCGGAGAUCCUAGUGCUGAAUGGACGGCACCUCCGCGUUCAACACACGUGCAGCCCGGUGAUGUCUCCCAUGCCUUGAUCCAGCAAGGAGAGAGGGAGAGGUUGGGGAAGACUCCAUCCAGCAGUAGCACAACAGCGUGGUGGUGAUGGAGGAGCGUGGUAUUCCAGCAGGGCUUCGCCAAGCACCGCGAGAGAUGAGGAGAAAGAGAGGUAGGGUUGCACCAGGGAGAGGUGGAAACUCUUGUGUAUGGCAGCCCCAAAACCUCAAGUAUAUAUAGGGGAGAGGGAGGGGGCUGCGCCCCCUUAUGGUUCCCACCCCAAGGGGUGCGGCUGCCCCAAAAACCCAUCUAGGGUGGCGGCCAAGGGGGGGAGAGGGGAAACUUGCCCCCCAAGUAAGGUGGGUGCGCCCCCUCCCCAAACCCUAGGCGCCUUGGGCCCUUGUGGGGGGCACACCAGCCCACCUGGGGCUGGUCCCCUCGCACACUUGGCCCAUGCAGCCCUCUGGGGCCGAUGGCUCCACUUGGUGGACCCCCGGAACCCUCCCGGUGGUCCCGGUACGUUACCGAUAACACCCGAAACCUUUCUGGUGACCAAAACAGGACUUCCCAUAUAUAAAUCUUUACCUCCGGACCAUUUCGGAACUCCUCGUGACGUCCUGGAUCUCAUCCGGGACUCCGAACAACAUUUGGUAACCAUGUAUAUCUAUUCCCUAUAAACCUAGCGUCAUCGAACCUUAAGUGUGUAGACCCUACGGGUUCGGGAACCAUGCAGACAUGACCGAGACGUUCUCCGGUCAAUAACCAACAGCGGGAUCUGGAUACCCAUGUUGGCUCCCACAUGUUCCACGAUGAUCUCAUCGGAUGAACCACGAUGUCAAGGACUCUAUCAAUCCCGUAUUCAAUUCCCUUUGUCUAGCUUUAUUGUACUUGCUCGAGAUUCGAUCGUCGGUAUGCCGAUACCUUGUUCAAUCUCGUUACCGGCAAGUCUCUUUACUUGUUCCGUAACACAUCAUCCCGUGAUCAAGCCCUUGGUCACAUUGUGCACAUUAUGAUGAUGUCCUACCGAGUGGGCCCAGAGAUACCUCUCCGUUACACGGAGUGACAAAUCCCAGUCUCGAUUCGUGUCAACCCAACAGACACUUUCAGAGAUACCCGUAGUGCACCUUUAUAGCCACCCAGUUACGUUGUGACGUUUGGUACACCCAAAGCAUUCCUAGGGUAUCCGGGAGUUGCACAAUCUCAUGGUCUAAGGAAAUGAUACUUGACAUUAGAAAAGCUUUAGCAUACGAACUACACGAUCUUUGUGCUAGGCUUAGGAUUGGGUCUUGUCCAUCACAUCAUUCUCCUAAUGAUGUGAUCCCGUUAUCAACGACAUCCAAUAUCCAUGGUCAGGAAAGCAUAACCAUCUAUUGAUCAACGAGCUAGCCAAUUAGAGGCUUACUAGGGACAUGGUGUUGUCUAUGUACCCACACAUGUAUCUGAGUUUCCUAUCAAUACAAUUAUAGCAUGGAUAAUAAACGAUUAUCAUGGACAAGGAAAUAUAAUAAUAAUAACCAAUUUAUUAUUGCCUCUAGGGCAUAUUUCCAACACUACCGUGAAGGGUGCGGAUGUAAAAAAUUACAUCCGCCCCUACCUCCGCUCCUGCUCCGGAACCUGGCCUGGUGCCACGGUACUACCGCGCCUCUGCACGGUACUACCGCGGGGAGCGCGGAUGUAAAAAAUUAUAUCCGCGCCAACCACCGCUUGAGAGCAGAGCCAGACCAGAGCUCGCGGUACUACCGCUCGGAAGAGCGGUACUACCGUGGGAGCCUACGGUACUACUGUGCUGGAGCCCGGUACUACCGUUGGCUCCUGCGGUAGUACCGCUCAAAAGAGCAGUACUACCGCUAGCUUGAGAAGAGCAAGACUGAUGCCUUCAUUUCGUAGAGACACAGUGAGACGGAGGAACACUCCAAGGAGCUCAAGGAAAGGCGGUGCAGAAGGGAAUGUGUACAUGAGAUUCCACCCAAACCUUUCCAAAGCCGCCCCCCUCUUAAUAGUACGGCUUUCCUACGACUCAACUCCACCGAACCAAACCAUAGAGAAAGGCCAUCUUCUAUAAUCUCCGAGGGGCAUCAAAUCGUCUUGUGUUUAGUUGUGAUAUAUCUGAAAAGCUCAAUACACACGAUUAGUCCGCAAAGGCAUUGUCAUCAAUCACCAAAACUACAUAGGGACAAUAAUGCCCUUACAAUCUCCCCCUUUUUGGUGGAUUGAUGACAAUACGAGAUUUGCACAAAUGAAAUGAAUAUAGCACAGGCAAACCCCACAACUUUUAAAAUAUAGGUGAGCUCCCCCUAGAUUCGUGCUAGAGUGUAAAGUGCUUUGGACUGCACGACACGAAUACUAGGAGUACCACUCCCCCUAUAUUUUAGAAACAAAGCAUAUCUGGCAAUAGAGAGUCUGACACUAGAUGAUAUGAGCAUAAUAUGAAUAGCAUGAUAAGCACAAGCUCAAUAAGGAGAUAACGAGAGAGUGCAUAUGUCUUACACCAUAUGAUAGACUUAAUCUCACGAGCACAACCAAACAAAAGCAAGCAGGCUCAACAACGGAAAGCAAAGCAAAUGAUGAAACACACAACACGCACGCAAAUCCUACACUCUCUCCCCCUUUGGCAUCGAGACACCAAAAAGGCAGAUAGGUCACCUACAACACAGGUGGUAGCUCAGGCGGAAAACGACUCAUCAUCGCCAGACUCCGCAGCAAGAACAUACUCCUCCUCUGAAUUGGUCCAAUGGUAGCUCUGCUUCGCCAUCCAGGCAGACUCUGGGGUGAUGUGCUUCUCACAGCCGCUUGCCACGUCCUCCCCGCAAGCCCUCAAGAUCCUGAUGUCGUGACGGUGACUCUCCUUCUGAGCAACAUGGGCCUUGUACUGCCCCUGAACCUGUAAGCAGAACAACCUCUUCAUCUUGUCCUUCAGCUUCUUUGCCCAAGAAGGCUCAGCAGAGGGAGGCGUGAAUACAGAACGAUCCUCAGCAACAUCUUCCUCCUCAAUCUCCUCCUCAUCAACAGCCAUCUUGGCAGCCUCUGUAGCAGUGGUGGUGUUAGCCCAUUGAGGCUUGAUGCGAAUCUUGAUGGGCUCAUGACGAAUCCAGCCUGGAGCUUCAAACUCCUCAUUGGGAAGGAGCUUCUCCCAUGUCUUGGAGAUCAGGUAAAACAGAUAAGGCCCAUAGAUGGGGACUUUAUGGUUGAACACGGCGAACUGAAGUUCACACCACAUGAUAUGUGAGACAUCAAGUGGCUGAGUCUGAGCCUGACGGGCAUCCUCACAAAGAAGCAUCAUGUCAACGAGAUAAGCAUGCACCUGUCCCAUGUCACCAAUGCGCGGGAAGAGCGUGUUCCGGAAGAGCCUAUGCAUGCUGUCAAGGAAGGGGUUGAGCACCCACACCUUCUUCGUGUUAGGAAGCGUCUUCUCAACAAGGUAUCGCAUGAGCUUGUUCUUGUUGGCAGAGUCAGCGUUGGCGUGAGGGCGAACUCCAACUAGCGUGUCGAGUCCUUCAUCGGGAACAAGGAGCAACUCCAUGAACUCCUUCCAGGUAGCAGACAGAUGUCGUCCAUUGGUCAUACAAGUCAUGGUCCUCUCUUCAUUGACGCCGAAGUGGACCAAAGCAAAGAACUGUGCAAUGAUCUCUGGAUCAAAGUCCUUGUGGAAGGUGAGAAUUUAUUCAAUGCCGAACUGCUCCACAAGAUCCAAGGCCUCUCCAAAGUAUCCACGGUGCUUCUCCUGCCUCAUGUGAAUCAUGUCGAUCUAGUGAACUUCAACAUAGUGAUUCUGCUUGGCCUUGAUCACAUCCAUAUAGAUCAGAUUCUGCUGCUUGUUCUAGAAGAGUUCAUUGCCUCGCGUGCUAGACCGGGGAGACACAUAAGGAUUGAUCUUUCUUCGAAUGACAAAUUCUGCCUGGGGCAUCUCAUCCAUGCCAAAGACGGGCUCCUUCUGUUUCUGGCGGUGUGCUUGGUCCUGCAUUGGGGAGCAGCAAAAGAUCCCUCUGGAACAUCAUUUGGGUUGCGCAGACGCUUGGACCCUGUGUCACGGCUGGGAUUCGAGCGACAAGGGAAACCGGAGCCACCACCUAGACACAAAGACACAAAGACAUGCACGGGAACAAAACGAAUCAAAAACAAAUGAAAGAGAAACACAAACACAUGCGACUUGGACAAAAGACAAAAGGCGUAGGAUGAUCUACGGUAGUACCGGGCGGGGUUCCGGAUGUAAAAACUUACAUCCGCGCCAACCGUGGAAGUACCACGCGUGGGGCGGAAGUAAUUUUUUACUUCCGGACACCCAGCGGUAGUACCGCACCAAGGUGCGGAAGUACCGCGGAGUAUCAGAUCCAGAAGGGGUUGUGGUAGUACCGCUCCAGGAGGAGCAGUAGUACCGCACGGAAUGAGAAACCUCCAUAGAGGACGCGGAUCUGGAUCUAGAACCUCCGCAUGACAACUUCGGUACUACCGUUGAUCAAACGGAACUAUUUUGACUAUCCAAAGAGCAUGCAACUACUCUACCACUCUACAACGAACUCCACUUGCACAGAUUUAGCCAAAAAUCUCAAGAACACCACAUGCAUCUCCCCAAAACCUAGAAACACAAGGAAGGACAAAAACGAGAGGUACUUGGGGAAAAACCUGGGUCCAUGGCAAGAGGGCGAGGUGGGGAGCGAUCCCACCGGUCGGAAUCCGAGGAGAGUGGCCGGAGAUGGAGAUCUGGCGAAGGCCUCCGGCGCCGUUCUUGGUCAGGAGAGAGAGAGAGAGACGGGGUGGGGAAAAGAGAUGAAUGGGUAUGGGGGAGUUAGAACUCCCCCUGUCCUGCUCUUAACCCCCACCUGCUCGCAUGGGCGCGGAAGUACCGCAGGUCAUCGCGGUAGUACCGCCCGGGCGGAAGUACCGCAUGCUGCGCGGUAGUACCGCUCGUUCAGCGGAAGUAAAAAAUUUCUGCCGCGGAAGUAGCGGUAGUACCGUGCCCCUAGAGGGCCACACACUUGGAGAGACCCACCAACUCCUGCGGUAGUACCACGGCACACCACGGUAGUACCGUAAACCAAGAAAGAGCUAGAACACAAGAGAGAAGAAGGAGGAAAAAGGGAAACACCACCGGAGAAACACCAAACAACACGAGAGAGAAAACAACUUCUCCAAGGAAGGGCGGUGGCCGGAGCCACCUAUAUUUGAGUCAAUUGGUAUGGCACCGCGAAGAAUUAUCCUUGGGUCCAUGACCAAAACUCGCCUUUGAAGCACAAGUACCAUAAAAAAUGGCUAAUGUGAAAGAGUUAAAUAAUAUUUGCAUAAUGGGGGGAGGAAGAGUUCAUUGAGAGAACAACACUCCCCCUAUGUCCAUGCCUACACCUAGACUAGACAACAAGUAGAGAGAGGAGUGGUGCACACGGGCUCAAGUCACAUUGCUUGAAUCAAUGAUAUUUAGCUCAUGCCUUAACUCACGAAAUCUUGCUUCAUCCAAGGGCUUCGUGAAAAUAUCUGCAAGGUUAUCAUGAGUGUUGACAUACUUGAGCUUGAUCUCCCCUCGCCUAAUGUGAUCCCGGAUGAAGUGAUACCGAAUCUCUAUAUGCUUCAUCUUGAAAUGUUGCACUGGGUUGAGAGAAAUCUUGAUGGCACUUUCAUUGUCACACCAAAGAGGCACUUUGUCACAAAUGACACCGUAUUCCUUUAAAGUUUGCCUCAUCCACAAGAGUUGUGCACAACAACUACCAGCCGCUACAUAUUCCGCUUCGGUGGAUGAGAGAGACACACAACUUUGCUUCUUGGAAGACCAACUCACCGAAGAGCAACCAAGAAAUUGGCACCCUCCAGAAGUGGACUUCCUAUCCACUUUGUCUCCUGCCCAAUUGGAAUCCGUAAAUCCUUCAAGCUUGAAGUUUGCUCCUCUUGGGUACCAUAGGCCAAAGUUUGGGGUAUGAGCCAAAUAUCAAAAGAUUCGCUUGACCGCCACAAAAUGGCUUUCCUUCGGUGCGGCUUGAAACCGUGCACACAUACCCACACUCAACAUGAUAUCCGAUCUAGAUGCACAAAGGUAAAGCAAGGAUCCAAUCAUAGAGCGAUAUACCUUUUGGUCCACCGCUUUACCAUUGGGAUCAAUGUCAAGUUGGCACUUGGUAGGCAUUGGAGUAGAAGCCGGCUUGACAUCACUUAGCUUGAAUCUCUUAAGCAUGUCUUGAGUGUAUUUGGCUUGGUUGAUGAAGGUACCUUCUCUUCUUUGUUUGAUAUCAAAACCAAGGAAGAACUUCAACUCUCCCAUCGAAGACAUCUUGAACUUAGAGGUCAUGAGAGCGGCAAAUUCUUCAUUGAAAGCUUUGUUAGGGGAACCAAAGAUAAUGUCAUCAACAUAUAGUUGGCACACAAACAACUCCCCUUUGACCUUCUUAGUAAAAAGAGUGGGAUCGAUUUUCCCAACUUCAAAUCCAUGAUCUUGUAACAACUCGGUAAGGUGGUCAUACCACACACGUGGGGCUUGUUUAAGGCCAUAGAGUGCCUUAUCGAGUUGAUACACAUGAUCCGGGAAGUAAGGAUCCUCGAACCCGGGGGGUUGCUUGACAUACACCAACUCAUUAAUAGGACCAUUAAGAAAAGCACUUUUCACAUCCAUUUGUUGUAACUUAAAGUUAUGAUGGGAAGCAUAAGCAAUCAACAAACAAAUGGAUUCAAGGCGAGCAACGGGAGCAAAGGUUUCACCGUAGUCGAUACCCUCGACUUGGGAGUAGCCUUGUGCUACCAAUCUUUCCUUGUUGCGAAUGAUGUUCCCAUGAGCAUCUUGCUUGUUCUUGAAAAUCCACUUGGUUCCAAUGACAUUGUGGUUCCUCGAUGGCCUUGGCACCAAUCUCCAAACCUUGUUGUACUCGAAGUUGUUGAGUUCUUCAUGCAUGGCAUUGAGCCAAUCCAAGUCUUCGAGCGCCUCAUAGACCUUUGGGAUUCAACACAAGAGACAAACACGUGAUGUUCACAAUAGUUUGCUAAUUGUCUACGAGUUCUUACCCCCUUUCUUAGGCUUCCAACCACAUUCUCCAUGAGAUGGCCUUUGGUGGUGAGUUUGGAAGCAAUCUUUGCGGCACGACGCUCUAAUUCCUCCUCCGAUGUGGAAGGAGGAGGGUUAACUUGAUUAUCUUGAGUGCCGUCUUGAGCUUGUUCUUGAUCUUGAGCUUGCUCAUGAUCUUGAACUUGCUCGAGGGGGAGAACUUGACCUUGGGCAUCAUUUGGAGGUUCACCACCAUCUUGAGAUUGAUCUUGCCCUUGGUCUUGUUCAUGAGGUUGAGGGCCUACACUUUGUUCUUCGGAAGCGUGUGAGUCUUGAGUAGGCGAAGGCUCCACUUGAGUGGAGCAUUGUCCUUCUCCUUUGGCCACAAGGGGUUCCUCAAUGGGUAGAACAAGACCAAUACCCAUUCUUCUUAUGUCUUGGGGAGGAAUUUCAUCACCUACAUCACAAGUACCACUUUGCUCCACUUGGGAGCUGUUAUUUUCGUCAAACUCCACGUUACACGUCUCCUCAAUGAGUCUGGUGGACUUAUUGAGAACACGGUAAGCAUGAGAGUUUGUAGCAUAACCAACAAAUAUGCCCUCAUAAGCUCUAGCCUCAAAUUUAGACAAAUGAACACCUUUCUUGAGAAUGAAACACUUACACCCGAACACCCGGAAGUACUUGAGAUUGGGCUUGUUUCCGGUGAGUAUCUCAUAAGGAGUCUUGUUCGAGCCUUUGCGGAGAUAGAGCCGAUUGGAUGCAUGACAUGCAGUGUUGAUGGCUUCGGCCCAAAAGUUGUAUGGAGACUUGAACUCCGCCAUCAUGGUCCUUGCUGCAUCCAUCAAUGUCCGGUUUUUCCUCUCUGCAACACCAUUUUGUUGAGGGGUAUAUGGAACAGAAUAUUGAUGCUUGAUCCCCUCAUCACUAAGAAACUCAUCCAAGGUGUAGUUCUUGAACUUGGUGCCGUUGUCACUUCUUAUUGUCAAGAUCUUUGCAUUAUGUUGACGUUGAGCUUCAUUUGCAAAGUCGAUGACGGUUUGUUGAGUCUCACUCUUCCUCUUGAAGAAGUAUACCCAAGUUUAUCUUGAAUAAUCAUCCACAAUCACCAAGCAAUACUUUCUACCCCCAAGACUAUCAAAGGAUGGAGGCCCAAAGAGGUCCAUGUGAAGGAGCUCCAAGGGUCUCUUCGAGUAGAUGAUAGUCGUGGGAGGGUGAGUCGUCUCAUGAAGCUUUCCUUCGAUACAAGCACUGCAAGCACGAUCUUUGGCAAAACUAACAUUUGUUAGUCCACGGACAUGGUCCCCCUUGAGAAGACUUUGCAAAGAUCUCAUAUUGAGUGGGCUAAAUGGCGAUGCCAAAGCCAUCCCACAUCAACUUUAGCCAUUAGGCAUGUCGCGGUCUUAGUGGGUUGCUUCGAAAAGUUAAUCACAUAGAGACCGUUCUCGACAUGCCCAACAAAGGCUACCUUAAGAGUCUUGCUCCACAAGAGGGCCACGGUAUCAAUAUCAAAGAAGGUGGCAAAGCCCAUGAGUGCAAGUUGACGAACGGAAAGUAAAUUGAACGCAAGGGACUCAACAAGCAUGACUUUCUCGAUCGUUAGAUCAUGAGAAAUGACAACCUUGCCAAGACCCAAUACCUUAAAAUGUGAGGCAUCACCCCACUCGACAUUGGUGGGCAUAGAUGGGAUCUUUUGCACGUCCACCACCAAGUCCUUGCUCUCGGUCAUAUGAUUUGUUGCUCCACUAUCGAGAAACCAUGAUCCCCCACCGGAAGCAAACAACUACAAGAGAUCAAUGCUUGGUUUUAGGUACCCAUUUAGUAAUUGGUCCUUUGAUGUUAGUAACAAGGGUCUUAGGAACCCAAAUAGACCAUUCAAUGUACUCAUAAUAAGAACCAACAAAUUUAGCAUAAACAUGCCCAUCACUAGCACGGCACAACACAUAAGAGGGGUUAAAGUCGCCGGCUUUGUUGGGAGAGAUGGCUUUGCCCUUUUUGGCAUCACCACUCUUCGCAUUGUUCUUCUUCUCCUUAGGAGCACCCUCUCCCUCCUUCACAAAAGUUUGCUUAAGCGGGGGAGGUCGUUUGGUCUUGUUAUUCUUCUUCUUGAUAUUCUUCUUGUUCUUGGACUUGGGUGAGAACCCAACUCCUUGCCCACAACUUCCUUUUGAUUGCUCAAAAGGUCAUUUAGGUUCUUCUCACCUUGUAUGCAUGACACAAGACCUUUCUCGAGUUGUUCCUUCAACUUGGCAUUCUCCUCCACAAGAUGCACAUGCUCACAACACGGGUUAGUAGCAUUUGCAUUAUCAAUUAAGACCAUGUGAGGAAAUGUGGCCUUUUCCUUGGUUAGCUUAACUUGGAGUUGAGCAUGAGACUCCUUGAGGUUUGCAUGAGCACCUUUCAAGACCUUAUGGGCCUUGUCAAGUACAUCAAACUCCUCCUUGAGUCUAGCAUGAUCAACCCCAAGUUUAGCCUUCUCGGAAGUUAGCACACGAGACACAACAAGAGCAUGAUCAAGAUCUUUCUUCAAUUUGGCAUGGUCAUUGUUGUGUGACUCCUCAAGAGCCAAACGAUGCCCACGCUCUUCCUCAAGUGCAUUAGAGAGAUACGAUAUCUCAUCGGCAUAGUCACGACUAUGACCUUCCAUCUUAGAGAUGGUUUCUUCGUGAGCCUCGAUCAUGUCAUUGGCUUCACCAAGUUGUUCCAAGAGAGCAAUGAAGUGCUUCUUGGAUUUGCCCUUGAGCUUACUCAUGAAGGACUCAAAUUCAUUUACCUCCUCAUUAGACCCCUUACCAUCAUCAAGGCUAACCGUCAAAGAAGGAUUAGGAAUAAUGGUGGUUUUGAUGUUGGGGGUUACCUUGUUCGUGGCUUUAGCCAUGAGGCACUUGGCGGUGAUGUUCUCGUUGGGUGAGUCGAAGAGAGACACCCGGGGAGUUGUGGCAAUGGCAACGGAUGCCAUAGCCAUUGCUUCACUAUCUUCAUCAUCAUCGUCAUCCUCAUGGUAUUCUUCUUGAAACACCGACCCGCGAGUAGGAGUCUUCUUGGUGAAGUUGUUCUUGUUAGGGAAGGACUUGGCUUUGUCUUUUCGGAUGAACUUGCCACCAUUGUCUUCCCGCUUCUCGUAAGGACAAUCCGCAACGAAGUGGCUCACAUUGCCAUAGUUGAAACAAGUUCUAACUCAUUGCUUGCCCUUUAGGCCACUUGAGUUGUUCUUGUUGAAGUUGGGUCUUGUAUUCUUCUUGCUCCAAAAUUGUCUUGAGGCAAGAGCCAUGUGCUCAUGAUAAUCAUAUUUCGUGUCUUCGGGGUUGCUCUCCUCAUCUUCCUCUUCUUCCUCUUCUUCCACACUAACCUUGGCCUUCAAGGCAAGGUUGGGCUUCUUUGCCCUUUGAGAACAGAGCACCGUAUUGUCGGUGGUCUUGUCCAAGAUGCUCAUUGCAACAAACUCAUCCAACACUUCGCUUGAGGUCAUGGAGUGGAAGUCCGGUCUUUGACGAAUGACGGAGGACAUGGCCUUGUUGUAGGGCAUCAUGGCCUUGAGGAACUUGCGCUUGAUCCAAUUGUCAUCCGUGUCCUUGCUCCCAUGAUCUCGGAGUGACACCACGAGUUUGAUCACUCUUCGAAAGAGCUCAUGAGGUUCUUCAUCUUCUUUCAUUGCAAACUCAUCGGCUUCAUCUUGCACCACUUCAAAGUUGGAGCGUUGAAUGGUAGCACUUCCCCGAUAGAGAGACACAACACAUUGCCAUGCGUCUUUAGCCACGACAUGAGGUCGAAGAUGAGGGAGAUCUUCGGGAAGGAUGGCAUCUUGGAUGAUGAAGAGAGCACUCUCAUUGAAUUGAUUAUCCACGGCUUCUCGAGGGGUGAAGUUGCUUGGGUCAUGUGGAUAGAAACCUUCUUCUAUGAUUCUCCAAAGAUUAGUAUUCACAUGUUUUAAGUGACGCUUGAAACGAUAAACCCAAGAAUCAAAAUCCUCAUUUUUCACAAUCUUAGGAGGAGGACCGGCAUGAUUUAAAUGAGUAGAGGGAAUCGGUCCACCAUAAGUAGGAGGUUCCACAUGGGCAUAAAUGCCGGUGCCAUUUCCACCACUAGUAGAAGGACCCUUUUCACUAUUAGCUUCCCCCUUGUUGGAGUUAGCAUCCGUCACCUUGUUAGUGGGAUCACCCACUUUCAUCGGCGAGGUGGAUAGUUUAAGUCCUUCUAGGAAUUUAGUAAACAUGCUUUCAACCUCGGUCGUCAUGGAGGUUUUCAAUGUGUCUAAAGCCACAUUGAAUUCCUCACGGGAGAUCGAGGUUCCCCCAUCGGCCGUAGACGAGAUAGGAUUCACACGGAGUGCUCCUCCGCACCGUCGUUGGUGUCAACCAUACUCUUCGGAUGGCAAAGUCCUUAAUAAAGAGACAAGGCUCUGAUACCAAUUGAAAGGAUCGAUAUGGCUGACUAGAGGGGGGGGGGUGAAUAGGCAAGUAACAAUUUUUAAGCUUUUCUUUAACAAUUUAAACCUUGCAACAAAGUAGGUUGUCUAGAUAUGCAACUAUGUGGACAACCUAUAUGAUGCAAAGACAACUAGCACACAAGCAAGCAAUAGAUACAACACAAGUAAGCUUGCAAAAGUAAAGGCACGAAAUAACCAAGAGUGGAGCCGGUGGAGAGGAGGAUGUGUUACCGGAGUUCCUUCCUUUUAAGGGGAAGUAUGUCUCCGUUAGAGUGGUGUGGAGGCACAAUGCUCCCCAAGAAGCCACUAGGGCCACCGUAAUCUCCUCACGCCCUCACACAAUGCGAGAUGCUGUGAUUCCACUAUUGGUGCCCUUGAAGGCGGCGACCGAACCUUUACAAACAAGGUUGGGGCAAUCUCCACAACACUUGGAGGCUCCCAACGACACCACGAAGCUUCACCACAAUGGAGUAUGGCUUCGAGGUGACCUCAACCGUCUAGGGUGCUCAAACACCCAAGAGUAACAAGAUCCGCUAGGGAUUAGUGGGGGGAAUCGAAUAUCUCUUGGUGGAAGUGUAGAUCGGGGCCUUGUCACCCAAUCCUGAGCAAAUCAACAAGUUUGAUUGGCUAGGGAGAGAGAUCGGCCAAAAAGGAAGCUUGGAGCAACAAUGGAGUUUAGGGUUGGAAGAGGUGAGUCUUCUUGGAGAAGAAGAACCCCUUUUAUAGUGGGGGGACAAUUCCAACCAUUGCCCACCACUCAGCCCACAGCCCACGGAACUACCGCUCCAUAGGCGCGGUACUACCGCACUGGCUUCCGGUACUACCACGAUGGACCGCGGUACUACCGUGAGCACGACAGAGACCUGACCAGGCAAAAGGAGCACCGAUAGGGCGCGGUAGAUCCGCAUGAGCGGUACUACCGCGGCCCCAUGCGGUACUUCCGCAAGGCAGACACGGGCCAAGCCUGGUAGGCACAGAUGUAAAAAAUUACAUCCGUGACUACCUCCGCUGAGAAAAUGUCGUGCAAAAAUCCGACAUGGAACUACCGCGACCGAGGGUGCGGUACUACCAUGAAGGGUGCGGAUGUAAAAAAUUACAUCCGCCCCUACCUUUGCUCCUGCUCCGGAACCUCGCCUGGUGCCACGAUACUACCGCGCCUCAGCACGGUACUACCACGGGGAGCGCGUAUGUAAAAAAUUACAUCCGCGCCAACCACCGCUUGAGAGCGGAGCCAGACCAGAGCUCGCGGUACUACCGCUCGGAAGAGCGGUACUACCGUGGGAGCCUACGAUACUAUCGUGCCGGAGCCCGGUACUACCGCUGGCUCCUGCGGUAGUACCUCUCAAAAGAGCAGUACUACCGCUAGCUUGAGAAGAGCAAGACUGAGGCCUUCAUUUCGCAGAGACACGGUGAGACGGAGGAACACUCCGAGGAGCUCGAGGAAAGGCGCUGCAGAAGGGAAUGUGUAUGUGAGAUUCCACCCAAACCUUUCCAAAGCAGACCCCUCUUAAUAGUACGACUUUCCUACGACUCAACUCCACCGAACCAAACCGUAGAGAAAGGCUGUCUUCUAUAAUCUCCGAGGGGCAUCAAAUCGUCUUGUGUUUAGUCGUGAUAUAUCUAAAAAUCUCAAUACACACGAUUAGUCCGCAAAGGCAUUGUCAUCAAUCACCAAAACUACAUAGGGACAAUAAUGCCCUUACACUUUGCUACUGAUCACUUUGCUAAAGAUAAUUAAUCUCUAGGUGUGGUUGAAUUGACAACUCAGCUGCUAAUACUUGCAAAUAUUCUUUGGCUCCCCUUGUGUCGAAUCUAUAAAUUUGGGUUGAAUACUCUACUCUCAAAAACUGUUGCGAUCCCCUAUACUUGUGGGUUAUCAAGACCUUUUUCUGGUGUCGUUGCCGGGGAGCAUAGCUAUAUUUGUUGAGUCACUUGGGAUUAUUAUCAUAUUAUCACUAUGAAGAAUCUGAAGGAUGCUAAGACUAAGAUUUUUCCCUCUAAGACGAGGGGAGGUAAGGAACUGCUAUCCAGGUCCGCUUUAGAUACACCUUCUGUUAUAAGUAAACUUGCAACAACACCACAUGCUAUUAAUUCCGAUAUGUCGCAAGUUAUUGAUGAUGCUACUUCUACUAUGAAUGCUACUCAUGAUGAUGCUAGUGCCUUGCUUGAUGAUAAUGUGCCACUAGGUGAAUUCCUUGAUGAACAAAUUGCUAGAGUAAGACAACAUGAUAUUGUUGAAACUGGUGAUGAGCUUGAAACUGAAAAUCUUGAAACACCUACUAGAAUUAGCCCUCCUAGAUAUGAAUUGCCAAAGGUACCGGAAGGUUAUGCUAUGAGUGAGGAGGCAACUAGAGAUAUUCUUGCUUGUAAGGAUAGAGAUGAUCUAGAAAAAUUAUUAUGCAAGUAUAAGGAAAGAUCUUUGAAUGCUAGAAUCAAAUGUGAUCCUAAGUUUAUUACUUCACCUAUCUUUAUUGAUGAUAAGGAUUAUGAAUUCUCUGUCGACCUAGAGUUAAUUACUUUGGUUGGAUCUGAUCCAUUCCAUGGUUAUGAAACUGAAACUGUUGUGGCACAUCUUACUAAGUUGAAUGACAUAGCCACCCUUUUUGCUCAUGAUGAGAAGAUUCAUUAUUACUAUAUCCUCAAGUUAUUUCUGUUCUCAUUAAAGGGUGAUGCUAAAGCUUGGUGCAAUACUCUUACUCCUGAUUGUGUGCGUAGUCCCAGGAUAUGGUUUAUUACUUCUCUAAAAAAUAUUUCCCUGCUCAUAAGAAACAAGCUGCCUUGCAGGAAAUAUUUAACUUUGUGCAAAGUGAAGAAGAGAGUCUCCCACAAGCUUGUGGGAGGCUUCUCCAAUUGAUUAAUUCUUUGCCUGAACAUCCUCUUAAGAAAAAUGAAACACUUGAUGUCUUCUAUAAUGGACUAACCGAUGCUUCUAGGGAUUUCCUAGAUAGUUGUGCUGGUUGUGUUUUCAGGGAACGAACUAUUGAGCAAGUUGAAGAAUUAUCGAAUAACAUAUUGAAAAAUUAUGAUGAUUGGACUCCUCGAGAAACACCUCUUAAACCCACUCUGAAGAAGAGGGGUAUUUUAUAUCUCAGUCAUGAAGAUAUGCAAGCGGCAAAGAAAUCUAUGAAGGAAAAAGGUAUUAAAGCUGAGGAUGUCAAAAAUUUACCACCUACUAAAGAAAUACAUGGGCUUGAUACAGCACCACCACCUAAGGUGGUAGAGGUAAAUUCUUUAAUGAAAUUCAAUGAUAGUGAUGAUCCUCAUAAUAAACAUCCUAGUCAAUGUGUUUAUGAGUUUGACAAUUACAUUAGAAAGCAAGAUCGCUUCAAUGCAAAUGUUAUGAAACAAUUGAAAUACAACUCUGGUAUGAUUGCUCGCUUAAGUGACUUGCUAUUUAGAAUCUCAAAUGAUGUUAGAGGUGUAGGAAAACAUGCCUCUAUGGUUCAAACUCAGUUAGAACAAGUUGCUAAAUCCCAAAGAGAGUUGCUUGAUGAAAUGAACAAUAAUAUAAGUGACUUUGCUAUUAGAGUAGCAACUAGAGGAGGUAAAAUGACUCAGGAACCACUUUAUCCUGAGGGACACCCAAAGAGAAUUGAACAAGACUCUCAAAGAAUUAACACUGAUGCACCCAGUCUUUCUAAAAAGAAAAAGAAGAAGAAAAACAAUAGGACUUUGCAUGCCUCUAGUGAACUGAAUUAGAAAAACCUCCUGAUAAUGAUAAUCAAAUUUCUAUCUCUAAUACUGAAACUUAAUAUGGUAGUGAACACUCACCUUAUGAUAAUGAAAAAGAUAAUGAUGAGGUUCAUGAAGAUACCCAAACUAAUAAUAAAGAACCAUACAAUGAUGUUGAGAUAGAACCAACUGUUAAUCUUGAUAACCCACAACCAAAGAAUAAAAGAUAUGAUAAAAGGGACUUUGUUGCUAGAAAACAUGGUAAGGAAAGAGAACCAUGGGUUCAAUAACAUAUGCCAUUUCCACCUAAGUCAAUUAAAAGUAAAGAUGAUGAAGAAUUUGAACGGUUUGCUGAAAUGCUGAGGCCAUUCUUUUUUGCAUACUCGCUUGAUUGAUAUCUUAAAAAUGCCUCCUUAUGCAAAGUACAUGAAAGACACCAUCACCAAUAAGAGAAAAAUACCGGAAGCUUAAAUCUCCACCAUGCUUGCUAAUUAUACUUUUAAAGAUGGAGUACCUAAAAAACUUGGCGAUCCAGGAAUACCAACUAUACCUUGCUCCAUCAAAGGAAACUAUGUGAAAACUGCCUUAUGUGAUUUGGGAGCUGGUGUUAGUGUUAUGCCUUUCUCUUUAUAUAAAAGACUUGAUUUGAAUAAACUCACGCCUACUGAAAUAUCUUUGCAAAUGGCGGACAAAUCCACUGCCAUACCUGCUGGUAUUUGUGAGGAUGUGCCCGUUGUUGUUGCUAAUGUUACUAUUUUGACUGACUUUGUUAUACUUGAGAUGCCUGAGGAUGACAACAUGUCGAUUAUCCUUGGUAGACCCUUCUUGAAUACUACAGGAGCUGUUAUUAAUUGCAAUAAAAGCAAGGUCACUUUUCAUAUCAAUGGUAAUGAGCAUACGGUGCACUUUCCAAAGAAACAAUUCCAAGUGAAUGGUAUUAAUCUUAUUAAAAAAUCUCCAACAAUUACUAUUGUAAGUUUUCAACUGUCUCUACCUACUAUUAAAAAUAAAUAUGAAAAGCUUAUUGUUGGGGACAUUCAUAUCUCCGUUGAGGUAACUUAGUGAUUCAUGAAAGUUCUUUGGUUUCAUGCUAAUCGAAAGUGGUUGUUAAUAAGACUUGAUCAACCUUAUUAAUGGAUCAUUUUUUAGAGGUAUGAAGUUGAUGAAUUUAGUGAGCACUACCUUCUGUCCCUACCUCUUGUUUUCUGUUUUUCUUAGUUAAAUAAAAUAAAAUGCCAUGCUUUGUCUGUUUUCUGAGUUUUCCGUGCAAUAAAAAGUGACCCAAAAUAUGAGUUUUCAGAAUGCUCUGAAAAUUUAAUACAUUUUUUUCUGAAUAUUUAAGAAUUUUUGGUGCAAAUAAUAUUAGAGGAAGGUGCACCAGGUGGGCACAACCCACUUGGGCGUGCCAGGACCCCCAGGCGCAUCCUGGUGGGUUGUGGUCCCCACAUGGGCCCCCUCACUUAUCUCUUCAUCCCACAUCAUCACCUACCUCCAGAAAAAAAAUCACCAUUGCUCUCUCUCUCUCUCUCUCAUGUUUUUGAUCCCGAAACCGCGGAUUUCAAUCUCUUUGCUCGAAGCUCCAUUUCCGAAACUCUGUCGUGGAAUUGUUGCUUGGUAUGUGACUCCUCCAUGUGUCCAAUUAGUUUUUGCUUUAGUGGUUUAUAUUUUGAAUAAUUAGCUACUCUUGGUGCUGCUGUAGAUGAGCUUGCAUGUUGAAUUCUAAGAGUUCUAAGUAGUUUGAAUGCUUGCUAUGUCCUCUAUACACCCCUAUGAGUAGUUGCUUACAAUCUUAUGAAGUUUUGUUGAGAAAUAUUUUGUGGACUAAUUUUUUUAGAAUUUUGUUCAUUGGAAAAACAUGAGUUUCUUUAGGAAGUUUGCUUCCAAGAAGAGCUCCAAGGGAGUUAUUAGGGAGUCAUCUGACAGUGAUCUCCACACCCGGAGAUUGGCGGAGUUACGUCCAUGCGAAUGGCCGCAUAAUCCGUUCAUGGAAGGGGCCGGAAUCCUUCAGGAGUUUGCACAAUACGCUGCUAAUGUCGGCCUCACCGACUUCAUCGCAGCUGAAUGUGAACAGUAUCAUCUUAUCACAAAUUUCUUUGUGCAAAACUUUCAUUUCCAUUCUAGGAAUAAUCCCCCUAAGGUGCAGUUUAAUUUAUAUGUUGAAACCCAUCAGAUACCACCUACUGAAUUUUGUGACAUAUGCAUGCUUCCUUCUGAUGGUGGUUUGGUAGAGCCUAGACCCGUGGAGUUUGAUGGUUUUUACCAUACUCUGACAGUUGGGGAUGAGAGAGGGGUAUCGGGUGUCACUGCUACUAGCUUGCAUUUUCCUGUUGUACAUUAUUUUGCUCUAUUCAUUCCAAAGUGCUUCCUUGCUAGAGAGAAGGUAGGUGCACUUAGCACUCCAUACUUUGCUGUUUCACGUCGCGUACUUUAUGGCGACAACACAUUUAGCUUGGGAGCUAUUGUGGCACGCCGCCUUCACAUUAACAGAUCCAAGGGUAAAAUACAUGGGGGCAUUUACGCUACUCGCUUGGCAACUCACUUUAACGUUCAGAUACGCCAGCAUGAUCAUCCUUUGCCCAAGGUUUACCUAGAUCGAGCAGCUAUGGAAGACCACCAGUUUAUUGUUGUCGAUUACCCUUGAUAUCCCUAUUCCUUAUAACUUAGUUUUCAGUGAGAACACUCGUGAUAUUAUUCCUUCGCCUGCACCCGCUUUGUUUGAUCCUAUUGCCAGGCACAAAUACAGGAUUAUGCGUGAGGACAUUGUUGCUUACCGGAACGACCAGGCUGCGGCACAAGAGGAGCCUCAGCAGUGGGAUCCAUAGGUGCCCGCUCCUCAACACUUCAACAUAGGACCCCAUGGCUUCUACAACUGGUGAUUACCAAGUUAGGCCAAAAGCCUAAGCUUGGGUGAGUACGUAUUUCCAUUGACAUUACAUUCAUGUUCACACAUUUCAUUAUAGUUGUCGGUGUUCACACUUUUUCAUUGUAUUAUCCAUGUUAAGUUUAUUUUCUUGCUUUCUUCUUGUGUGUUUGAAAAACUUUGAGAAAAUCCAAAAACACAUUUCUUGCUUCUUUUUGAUUUUUCUUCCUAGUUUAAAUUGUUGUGGCACUAAAAAGAAAACCCACAAAGAUUUCUUUGUUCUUCUUUUGCUUGUUGGGAGCUUUCCUGUGUAAAUAGUUUUUCUUGUUUUUGCUUUUCCCUUUUUUAUUUGCUUGUUUACGAAUAAACAAAAACUCCAAAGAUAUUCCAGUGUGUUUCUCUGAAUUGCUUUUCUUUCUAUUGGGUCAUACCGAGGAGAAGACCACGAUGAAAAUGUUGAGUGGCUCUCAUAUGCAUUAUUGUUGAUCUCACAAAGAGUCCAUAUUACUUUGUCCUCUCCUUUUGAAUAAAAUGUUUAAAGGUCCCAGCUUAGUCCAUGACACUGUUGCACUAUUAUUAUUUUCAAAUCAUUCAGUCGUGCAAGUGAAAGUCAAUAAUGAUGAUAUUCGAUGAAUUCGCCAUGGCAGAGAGAAAUGGGUAUGAACUCGACUUGUUCUGUUUUUGUAAAUAUGUUUAAUCUAGUAUCCAUGAUUCAGCCCAUUAUGAUCAAACAUGUUGAAAGAACAUGCGGUGCCCCAUGUUUGGUUUUUGUAAUUGAUGACAAUCUCUAUAGACUAAUGGUUGCCUUGAGUUAUAUUUGAAGGAUUUGUCCAUAGGCUUUUCUUGGAGUCCAUUUGUUGGUUUCAAGGAGAGUUUGUGAUGACCAAGGUGCUAUUCAAGGAAUUACCUAAAGAUUGGUCAAGUGAGAGGUUGAUCGAGACUAAGUCAAAGAGUAAAUCAAAGUGAUCAACACACAAAGCAUACAAGAUGUACCAAGGGAUCAAGUGAUCCCAUGGUAUAGUAAGCAUUGUCCAUUACGCUUUGUAUGCUAACCCAUGGUAUUCGUGAGAGUUCUUUGUGGGGUUAGGUUGUGGUGUGUGAUACGUCUCCAACGCAUCUAUAAUUUUUGUUUGUUCCAUGCUAUUAUAUUACCUGUUUUAGAUGUUUAUGGGCUUUACUUUACACUUUUAUAUCAUUUUUGGGACUAACCUACUAACCGAAGGCCCAACCCGAAUUGCUGUUUUUUGCCUAUUUCAGUGUUUCGAAGAAAACGAAUAUCAAACGGAGUCCAAACGGAAUGAAACCUUCAGGAGUGAUUUUUUGGGAACAAACGCAAUCUAGGAGACUUAGAGUGGACAUCAAGAAGCAGCCGAGGCAUCCACGAGGAUGCAAGGCACGCCCUAGGGGAGUGGGCGCGCCCCCCACCCUCGUGGCUCUCCUGACCGACUUCCUUCGCCUAUAUAUAUCUACAUACCCCGAAAACAUCUAGGAGCACCACGAAACCCUAUUUCCACCGCCGAAACCUUCUGUACCCGUGAGAUCCCAUCUUGGAGCCUUCGCCGACGCCCCGUCGGAGGGGGAAUCGAUCACGGAGGGCUUCUACAUCAACACCAUAGCCUCUUCGAUGAGUUGUGAGUAGUUUAACACAAACCUUCGGGUCCAUAAUUAUUAGCUAGAUGGCUUCUUCUCUCUCUUUGAAUCUCAAUACAAUGUUCUCCUCGAUCUUCUUGGAGAUAUAUUCGAUGUAACUCUUUUGCGGUGUGUUUGUCGAGAUCCGAUGAAUUGUGGGUUUAUGAUCAAGUUUAUCUAUGAGAAAUAUUUGAAUCUCCUCUAAAUCCUUUUAUGUAUGAUUGGUUAUCUUUGCAAGUCUCGUCGAAUUAUCAGUUUGGUUUGGCCUACUAGAUUGAUCUUUCUUGCAAUGGGAGAAGUGCUUAGCUUUGGGUUCAAUCUUGCGGUGUCCUUUCCCAGUGACAUCAGGGGCAGAAAGGCGCGUAUUGUAUUGUUCCCAUCAAGGAUAAAAAGAUGGGGUUUAUAUCAUAUUGCUUGAGUUUAUCCCUCUACAUCAUGUCAUCUUGCCUAAUGCGUUACUCCGUUGUUACGAACUUAAUACUCUAGAUGCAUGCUGGAUAGGGGUCGAUGUGUGGAGUAAUAGUAGUAGAUGCAGAAUCGUUUCGAUCUACUUGUCGCGGACGUGAUGCCUAUAUACAUGAUCAUGCCUAGAUAUCCUCAUAACUAUGCACUUUUCUAUCAAUUGCUCGACAAUAAUUUGUUCACCCAUCGUAAUACUUAUGUUAUCUUGAGAGAAGCCACUAGUGACACCUAUGGCCCCCCGAGUCUGUUUUCCAUCAUAUAAGUUUCUAAUCUACUUUAUUUUGCAAUCUUUACAUUUCAAUCUAUAUCAUGAAAAUACCAAAAAUAUUUAUCUUAUCUUAUUAUAUCUAUCAGAUCUCACUUUUGCAAGUGGCCGUGAAGGGAUUGACAACCCCUUUAUCGCGUUGGUUGCAAGGUUCUUGUUUGUUUUUGUAGGUACGAGGGACUUGCGUGUACCCUCCUACUGGAUUGGUACCUUGGUUCUCAAAACUGAGGGAAAUACUUACGCUACUUUGCUGCAUCACCCUUUCCUCUUCAAGGGAAAACCAACGCAGUGCUCAAGAGGUAGCAAGAAGGAUUUUUGGCGCCAUUGCCGGGGAGGUAUUCGCUCAAGUCAAGACAUACCAAGUACCCAUCACAAACUUAUCUCCCUCGCAUUACAUUAUUUGCCAUUUGCCUCUCGUUGUCCUCUCCCCCACUUCACCCUUGCCGUUUUAUUCGCCCUCUCUUUCCCGUUUGCCCCUCUUUUUCGCUUGCCUCUUGUGUGACCUGUUUUCCCUAAUGGCCUUGCCUAAAACGCCGAUCUUCACCUUAGAAGGUUGGAAGAGAUCGAAAUCAACAUUAGAAUCUUUAUGACUUUACAAUUUGAGCAUAAUAAUUUCUUUAGAAAUGAGCUUAAAGAACAAAAAAGUUUUAUGGAAUACAUGAAUAAAGAGCUUGAUGAUAUGUCUAAGGAAUUUUAUGGUUUGAAUUCUCAGAUUACUCGGCUUGAAAAAUCAAUAGCUCAAAUUUCUGAUAAGCAAGCCACCUUAGUUAAUAAGAUGGCCGCCAAACCAGAAGGGUUAGAGGGAAAUAAUGAUGAAGAUCUAAAAGUGAUUGAUGUGUCUCCUAUUAAAUCUUUGUUUUGCAAUAUGAAUCUUGAUAAUGAUGGGACUGGAGAUGAGUCAACUUUAGUUAAAAGGCGUCCCAAUGAUUCAGAGUUUUUAGAUCUUAAUGCUAAAAUUGGUAAAAGUGGGAUUGGAGAGAUCAAAACUUUACAUAGCAAUGAACCCACUAUUUUGGAUUUCAAGGAAUUUAAUUAUGAUAAUUGUUAUUUAAUAGAUUGUAUUUCCUUGUUACAAUCCGUGUUGAAUUCUCCUCAUGCUUAUAGUCAAAAUAAAGCUUUUACCAAACAUAUCGUUGAUGCUUUGAUGCAAUCUUAUGAAGAAAAACUUGAAUUGGAAGUUUUUUCCCUAGAAAACUUUAUGAUGAGUGGGUACCUACUAUUAAAAUUAAAAUUAAAGAUCAUGAAUGCUAUGCUUUGUGUGAUUCGGGUGCUAGUGUUUCCACGAUUCCAAAAACUUUAUGUGAUGUGCUAGGUUUCCGUGAAUUUGGUGAUUGCUCUUUAAACUUGCACCUUGCGGAUUCCACUAUUAAGAAACCUAUGGGAAGGAUUAAUGAUGUUCUUAUUGUUGCAAAUAUGAAUUAUGUGCCCAUGGAUUUUAUCGUUCUUAAUACAGAUUGCAAUUUUUUAUGUCCUAUUAUUCUUGGUAGACCUUUCCUUAGAACGAUUGGUGCAAUUAUUGAUAUGAAGGAAGGAAAUAUUAGAUUCCAAUUCUCAUUAAGGAAAGGCAUGGAACACUUUCCUAGACAAAAAUCAAAUUACCUUAUGAAUCUAUUAUGCGAGCCACUUAUGAAUUGAAUACCAAAGAUGGCAAUACUUAGAUCUAUUCUCGCUUUUAUGCCUAGCUAGGGGCAUUAAAUGAUAUCGCUUGUUGGGAGGCAACCCAAUUUUAUUUUUGUUCCUUACUUUUUGUUCCUGUUUAGUGAUAAAUAAUUCAUCUAGCCUUUGUUUAUAUGUGGUUUUAUGUUUUAGUUAGUGUUUGUGCCAAGUAGAACCUAUAUGGUCAUCUUGGGUGAAAGUUAAUUUGAUCUUGCUGAAAAACAGAAACUUUUGCACGCACGAGAAUAAUUUUAAUAAAUCACAGAAACAUGAUUUUUAGUUGAUUCUUUUUGAAGUAGAUCAAUAGAUAAAUUUCCUAGGACUUCCUAUAUUUCUAGGAUUUUAAGAGUUCCAGAAGUAUUCAAAAGUUACAGAUUGCUACAGACUGUUCUGUUUUUGACAUAUUCUGUUUUUCGUGUGUUGUUUGCUUAUUUUGAUGAAUCUAUGGCUAGUAUCGGGGGGUAUGAACCAUAGAGAAGUUGGGAUAUAGUAGGUUUAACACCAAUAUAAAUAAAUAAUGAGUUCAUUACAGUACCUUAAGUGGUGGUUUUUCUUUCUUGCACUAACGGAGCUCAUGAGAUUUCCUGUUGAGUUUUGUGUUGUGAAGUUUUCAAGUUUUGGAUAAAGAUUUGAUGGAUCAUGGAAUAAGGAGUGGCAAGAGCCUAAGCUUGGGGAUGGACAUGGCACCCCAAGAUAAUUCAAGGACAACCAAAAGCCUAAGCUUGGAGAUGCCCCGUGUUGGGGAUAUUACCACUAGGCGUAAACCGGCCUACUCGGGCCGGGUUAACUUCAUUAGUGGUAUAAGCAGAGGAAGGCCCAAGGCCUAUAGUCGGUUUAGAAUCUGUAGCCGUAAACCGACCUGAUGUAUAUCUUGUAUUGUAAGUUAGGAAUAGAGAGAUACCAGCCGGGAUACGAGUAUGAACCGGUUGGGACUCUAUGGACCGACGGGCGUCGCCCGUGUAUAUGGGGGGACGGCCCGGCGGCGGUUCAGGACAGACAACCACAACUCGAGCCUAGGCGAAGCUUAUUGGCUCCCUAGCCAUCGAGAUCAUAUCAAUUCCAUCACAACUAGACGUAGGCUUUUACCUUCAUCGAAGGGGCCGAACUAGUAUAAAACCCUCGUGUCUUUGUGUCCGCGUUAACCCCUUCAAGUAAACCCGUGGCGAUGGCUCCACGACUAAGUCCUUUCACUAGGACAUCUGCCGUGACAAAUCCAUGACAGUUGGCGCCCACCGUGGGGCUAUCGCACGAUGGUUUGACGAUCUUGGAGGGCAAGCUCAAGGGACUCGAAGGCUAUGUUGUGGGCCAAAUGACCAAGAGUCGCCGGGGCAGGAUCUACAUCGAUGACGCAGGAUGGGGUCCCGAGGCCGAUUCGAUCGAGUACGGGUACCGGGUCCCCUUUGGUGGCAUACACGUUUUCAUUGGCAAAAUUGGUGAGCCUGGGCCUGAGCCGGACAUCUGCACCAACCUCAUCGAGACGGCUCAGCGUGCGAGAUCUACCUAGGCUAAACCGGCCGUGAAGCGUGUCUUCGUUGGAGUCGUCCACGAAGGAGAGCGUGAGGACGAAUCAGAACACGGUAGCGAGACCGUCAUCUAUUCCGAUGACGAGUCCUCGACCGGAGAGACCGAACCGCUGUACCAGUUGCAAGACGACCAGAUUAGGGGCUGGUCCGAUGGCGACAGUAUUCCGGACCCCCCGGGCCAGGUCAACCGGGUUGGAAUAUUCAUGGCCGGCACACAGGCGGCGAAUCACUCUUCGACCGCCGCAGCAAUGCUCUCCGGAUCAGCAGCGGCAGCAGCAGCAGGGUCAGGAGGCCUUAUGCGCCCGCCGGUUCAAGUUCUAUCUGAGCUGUUUGAUGCACCAGCCGUGCUUAUGGCAGAGGACAAUCCGGCAGAUCAGGAGGCCCAUAAUGCAGAAAUUGCGAAGGUGAGAGAGCAGAUCGUGCAAGCCAAAGCGGAUCUGGCAGCAGAACAAGGCCGGAUGGCUGCAGAGCGGGCCGCUUUGGACGCCCAGGCCUAUAAACUCAUGCUUGACCAGAACGCAUCACAGGAGGUUUUGAAGCGGAAGCAUAGAUCAUGCCUGCCGUUAGGGUUUGACCCCCGAAAUCUCUUUCACACUCCAGGAGCUGGACCCAGUAAUCCGCCGCAGUACUCGGAGACGAACCGGAUUGAGGCACCAGGACCGGGGGCGACGGUCCAACCUCGCCUGAUGGAACCUCCUCACCGAAACAUUGUGGUUCCUCCGCCGGUCCAGACGCCCCUGGGUCAUUAUUCGAAUCCCAUGGACAACCUUGUUGCGGCCGCUGCACGGUUAGAGGCCAUCCCAGUCGAAGGGGAUUCUCCGCAAGCGAUAGAGACGCGCUGGGUUAAGGAGCUUCUCUGGACUGUGCUGAUUCAGCAGGAAGCAUAUUCUUACAGCCGUGAUCGGAUCCACUCUACACCCCGUCCAAGCCGGAGUUAUAGCAGGCGCUUGAAUGAACCCGCCGUAUCGAGCAAUGCGCGAGGCCGUGAAGCAGCCUGUGGCGAUAGCCCGGCAGGCGGUGUCCGCGAUGCGCAGGAUGUGGUGGACCGGGCCCGAGCACAAAGGGAGGCCGAGUUAGCAGCCCAGGAUAAUGCGGGUCAACUUAUGCCGGUUCGUUCUACCACCUUCACCGGACUAGGAGUCACGUCCGCUUUGGGAGUGCCUUGCUUGAUCCCUGCUUUACGUAAUGUGCGCCUGCCCAAAGAUUUCAAGGGUCCACGCAAGGUGCCGAAUUACACCGCUGAUUUACCCCCUGAAGCAUGGGUAGAGAGUUAUGAGAUGGGCAUGGAAAUGCUGGACGUGGAUGAGGCCGCAUGUGCAAAAUACUUCACCAUGAUGCUUGAGGGCACGACUCGUACUUGAUUAAAGAGCCUACCACCCAAUCCUAUCAGCUCAUGGGCCCAGUUGCGGGCCCGGUUUAUACAGAAUUUUAAGGAUACAUGUAAGCAGCCUAAGUCCAUAGUAGACCUGGCGGCUUGUGUCCAGGAGGAAGGAGAAUCAACGACCCGUUGGGUGCGCCGCGUUUCGGAAAUUUUGCACUCGUCUGACAGGAUUAAUGCUGACUCUGCAAUCUUAACUCUGGAAGGCAACUGCCAGUUUGAGCCUCUAAAAUUGAAGUUGGGACGCAUGAAGCGGUUCUAUAAUGACAUGGGAACCCUCAUGGCCGCUUUAGUGAAGUAUGCCGAUUCGGACAGUACCAAGGAUCCCGAGCCUAAUGAUGAUGAAGCAGGGAAGGGAAAGAAGAAUAGCAACUCCAAACAGCAGCAGUACAAACUAGCGGGUCAUGGAAACGGAGGCAAGCGCAAGGCGGAUGGCAGCAUGGACUUUGUGGCCAGCGGCAAAUCGUAAUGGGGCUCCCAAUCCUAACGCAAGCCGUUUGAACUAUUUGCUGAAUCAGCCUUGCCCGAAGCACGGGACGAAGGAGGCGCCGGCUAACCAUCUUUGGAAAGAUUGUUAUAUCAUGCAGGAGUUCAAAAACUCUAAUGCUUUCCGGUAUGAUCACGGAUCAGGUGGCGGUUCAGGAUCCGGUUUUCGCGGGCCGGAUCACGAUGGAGCUUCCGGUUCAGGUCACAAUCAGGGCGGUCACAAUCACCAGAAUAAUCAGAACAGCCAGCAGCAGCAGCAGUCGGGUUAUCAGAGCCAGCCAAAACAGUUGAACAAUGGGCAAUAUCAUGUUUUCACAACUAGUUUGGAUAAACACGACCGAAAACUCCACAGGCGAGCGGUGAAUUCUGUUGAACCGGCCUUGCCACGUUACUUGCGCUGGUCGGAGCAGCCUAUCGUGUGGAGCAGAGAGGAUCACCCGCCCCGGGUUGAUAAUCUGGGCCAGCUAGCGUUAGUGGUAGACCCUCAGGUGGGGGGUUAUAAAUUCACCAAGGUACUCAUGGAUGGAGGAAGCAGUAUUAACAUAUUGUACUAUGAGACAUUCCGCCGCAUGGGUUUAACAGACAAAGAUCUCAGACCGUCGAAUACGAUGUUCCAUGGUGUGGUGCCUAGCAAAUCUGCAUAUCCUGUUGGUAAGAUAGCCCUGGAUGUAGCUUUUGGGGACGAGCACAACUCCCGGUCAGAAAAACUAACAUUUGAGGUGGUGAAGAUCCGGAGCCCGUAUCACGCCUUGUUUGGCCGGCCGGCUUACGCCAAGUUCAUGGCGCGGCCUUGUUAUAUCUACUUGCAGCUCAAGAUGCCUGGUUACAAGGGGACCAUAACGGUUCAUGGGAGCCGUAAGGUCGCUUUGGAAUGUGAGGAAGGUGAUGCGGCUUAUGUAGAGUCAGUCUGUGCCACGGAGGAGUUGAAGUAUUAUAAGGACAAUGUUGAUCCGGCGGAUAUGACCCCUUUAAAGAAGCCAACUACAGAGCAUGCUUCAGAUCUGAAGUUCAAAUCGGCAGACCAAGCUUGUUGACUUCGUGCCCGGCGAUUCGUCCAAGCAGUUCACUAUCAAUGCCAACCUGGAUCCCAAAUAGGAAAGCGCGCUCAUCGAGUUCAUCCGUGAGAAUCGGGGCAUUUUUGCAUGGAAGCCGUCUGACAUGCCAGGUGUACCGAGGGAACUCGCUGAGCACACUCUUAAUGUGGAUCCUAAGUAUAAACCGGUGAAACAGUUCCUUCGCCGGUUUAACGAAGAAAGACGCAAAGCCAUUGGAGAGGAAGUGGCCAGGCUUUUAGCAGCUGGUUUUAUUAUUGAGGUGUUCCAUCCAGAGUGGCUUGCUAAUCCGGUGCUGGUUCUUAAGAAAAAUGACACUUGGCGUAUGUGUGUGGAUUACACAGAUCUUAACAAAGCCUGUCCGGCAGAUCCUUUUGCCCUCCCCCGUAUUGACCAGAUCAUUGAUGCCACGGCGGGUUGUGAGCGUUUGAGUUUUUUGGAUGCAUACUCUGGAUAUCAUCAGAUCAAAAUAGCGGUUAAGGACCAGGAGAAAACAUCGUUCAUUACUCCCUUUGGAGCCUUCUGCUAUGUAUCUAUGCCCUUCGGACUUAAGAGUGCCCAAGCCACCUAUCAACGGUGUGUACAGAAUUGCCUGCAUAAACAGAUCGGCCGCAAUGUGCACGCCUAUGUGGAUGAUAUUGUAGUAAAAUCAAGGCAGAAGGAGACGCUGGUGGAUGACUUGAAGGAAACCUUUGACAACUUGCGGGUUUACAAGAUGAUGCUUAAUCCGGCCAAGUGUGUCUUUGGUGUUCCAGCAGGCAAGUUACUGGGUUUCCUGGUGUCUAACAGAGGAAUCGAGGCUAACCCGGAGAAGAUUACGGCUAUUACAUCCCUAGCUAAACCAAAAUGUAUCAACGAUGUUCAGCGUUUGGCGGGCCGGAUCGCUGCACUAAGCCGGUUUAUCAGCCGCCUCGGAGAGAAGGCCAUUCCUUUGUACCAAAUGCUGAGGAAGACGGACCAUUUCAUUUGGAGUCCGGCUGCUGAUGAAGCGUUUGAGGACCUGAAGCGGCAGUUAGCCAAUCCGCCUGUUCUUGCAGCUCCGGUCGACAAGGAGCCACUAUUAUUAUAUGUAGCGGCCAAUGCUCGGGCAGUUAGCGUGGCUAUUGUGGUGGAACGCAAAGAGGCAGGCAAGGAAUAUCCGGUUCAGCGGCCGGUUUAUUAAUAUCAGCGAGGUGCUUAUUGAAUCCAAGAAAAGGUAUCCGCAUUGGCAGAAGCUGGUCUAUGGUGUUUUUAUGGCCAGUCGGAAGUUGAAGCAGUAUUUUCAAGGGCACCCCAUCACAGUGGUCAGUUCAGCCCCCUUGGGUGAUAUUAUACAGAACCGGGAGGCGACUGGCCGGAUUGCCAAGUGGGCUAUAGAGCUUGGGCCACACGGAUUGAAGUACGUGCCUCGGACGGCAGUGAAGUCUCAAGCACUUGUUGAUUUCAUCAAUGACCGGACGGAGUUACAAGCACCAGAGGAGAAGCCGGAUCACGCAUAUUGGACUAUUCAUUUUGAUGGAUCCAGGCAAUUGGAAGGCUCGGGGGCUGGAGUCGUAUUAACUUCCCCACGAGGUGAUAAGUUUUGUUAUGUUCUCCUCUUAAUGUUACCUUGUACUAAUAAUGCAGCUGAGUACGAAGCCUUGCUCCAUGGUCUCCGGAUGGCUAAAGAGAUGAAUUUAAGCCGGGUUAAGUGCUUUGGUGACUCGGACCUAGUGGCUCAACAGGUGUCUGGCACUUGGGAUUCUAAGGACCCGCUCAUGGCUGCAUAUCGUCGGGAAGUGGAUAAUAUUGCAGGUUGUUUCAAGGGUUAUCAAGUGGAUCAUGUGGACCGUCGGAAGAAUGAAGCGGCGGAUGCUUUAAGCCGGUUGGGCUCUCAGCGUAAACCGGUCCCGCCUAACGUCUUUUUGGACGUGUUGCACAACCCGUCAGUCAAGCUCCCAGGUGAAGCGGAUUUGGCUAUUCCUGAUCCGGAGGCUCAAUUGGUGGCAGCCCUGCAUGUUAUUCCGGAUUGGACAGUUCCUUAUCUUGUGUACAUGAACCGGGGGGAGUUACCAGAGGAUGAGAUUCUGGCCAGGCAGAUAGUCCGGCGAUCCAAGUCUAUGACGAUUGUCAAUGGUGAAUUACAUCAUUGCAGUGUAUCAGGGGCGUUUCAACGUUGUGUUUCUCCUAAGGAAGGCUGUGAAAUCUUAAGAGAAAUCCAUGAAGGGGAUUGUGGACACCACGCCGGUUCAAAGUCUCUGGUGGCGAAGGCGUUUCGUCACGGGUUCUACUGGUUGACAGCGCAUGCUGACGCGGAGGACUUGGUUAAACGGUGUGAUGGAUGUCAGAAAUUUUCAAGGCGUGCUCAUGUGCCGGCUCAAGAAUUGAGGAUGAUUCCAAUAACGUGGCCGUUUGCAACUUGGGGGCUGGAUAUGGUUGGGCCUUUUAAAAUAUCCAAGGAUAAGAAAACCCACCUUUUGGUAGCAGUUGACAAAUUUACCAAGUGGGUUGAAGCGGAGCCUGUCAGCAAGUGUGAUGCAGCAACAGCGGUGCAGUUCAUCAAGAAGGUGAUUUUCCGGUUUGGUUUUCCACACAGUAUCAUUACUGACAAUGGUACCAAUUUAUCCAAGGGCGCUAUGAAGGAGUUCUGUGAACGUGAGCACAUCCGACUUGACUGUCGUUAGUGGCACACCCCCAGUCCAAUGGACAGGCAGAACGAGCUAAUCAGGAAAUCUUGCGAGGCAUCAAACCCCGGCUUAUGGUCCCGUUACAAAGAACACCAGGAUGUUGGGUUGAAGAGCUACCAUCUGUAUUAUGGAGUAUCAAUACUACGCCAAACCGGUCCACAUGAUACACGCCAUUUUUCAUGGUCUAUGGAGCAGAGGCAGUUCUCCCUAGUGACAUCCGGCACGAUUCGCCUCGUGUGGCAGCUUAUGUUGAAGCAGACAAUGAGACAGCACGGCAAGACGCUUUGGACCUAUUGGACGAGGAGCAUGAUAUAGCGGCUGCCCGUUCGGCGAUUUACCAGCAAGAUCUUCGUUGCUAUCACAGUCGCCGGGUUAGAACCAGAACUUUUCAAGAAGGAGAUUUGGUACUUCGACUCAUCCAAGAUCAAACGGAUAUGCACAAGUUAUCCCCACCUUGGGAGGGACCUUUCGUGGUUAGCAAGAAUUUGCACAACGGGUCGUACUAUCUGAUUGAUAUUCGAGGGCAUCAAGACUCACGUACAUCAGAGGAGGAGACCAACAGGCCGUGGAAUAUAGCUCAUCUUCGGCCUUACUAUACUUGAGCCAUCGGCUCUAUCUAUGUACAUAUCAUGACAAUGUAUAUAUUAUCUUUGAUAUAUCAAACUAGAGCCUCGGCUAAAGUGGGGUCUCUGUCUUUCUCAUCAUGCGAGGUUACACGGAGUGGUUCUGUUUAAAGCGGCCUCCGGUUUACCCCUUGACAUUUGUUUUUUAUAUAUCACUGGGGGCCUUGGUCGUGUCCGAACCAACGAACACCCUUUGAUAGGCGACAGCCACCAGAUCAUUUGGGGACAUGGUCAAGUCUAAACCAGUCACGCCUCUUGGUCGGCCUAAGGCCACAAAAUCACUUGGGGGCAUGGUCGAACCCGAACCAUUGCCACGCCUCUUGAUCUGGCAUAUAUGCCACGAAUCAUUUGGGGACCUGGCUGACUUGAGUCAUUGUCACUCCUAUUGGGGGCCUUGAUCCUGUCCGACCAUGGUAAUACCAUCUGAUCAGCUCAGUAUAGCAUAUUUUUGCAAAUGGUUUUUUAUCAUUGCCUUUGCUUCCAUGUUAUUUUCAUGGUUUGUUUUUUCUUUGUUUUUGUCGGAUUUCUUUUAUGUCGACAAACACCUUUUUUC
rnacentral:lncRNA from 1 species